GGUAUCAAAUGUUAUAAAAAAAAAAAGUUACUAGUUUGACAUUUGAUCAACAUAGAGGUUGAGGAUAAUAUUGAUAGUUUUUCAUAUUGUGUGAUAAAAUAUAAGAGAAAUGAAUAAAGAGAGAAAAUGAUUAUAAAACCAUCGUUUGUGUGAGCAUGGCAGGCAAACAAGAGAGUUUCAAUAGAAUGUUAAGGUUAGUAUAUUGUUUUUUUUAAGUGGAUAAGAGAGAUAAGCGUAAUUUUAAAAUUUUAGAGAUAUUAAAUGAGAUCGGCAAAACCCUCGAGGGAGGUUUUUGAAAUUAUCCCAUGUUAAAUAUCAAUUCUAUUUCCACCUUCCCUUCGUAGCCCCCACGCCACACCGUCCAAGCAACCGCCAUAAUCCGCUUCAUUCACCCUUCCUUGUCCUUACAGGUGCCGUGGCCCAUACUGUUCUGCCCUUCUACUGGUACCUCCUUGUCCUCUCUUCAGUUCAGUCUCCAAUCUCCUUUUGCCAACACGUACUAGUUUUUUUUUUUUUUAAAAUUUUAAAAUAUGAAACCUCGAAUCCUGCUCUGCUCCAUUCUUGAUUCUACAUAUGGCCUCUUGCUCCCCUGUUCUUUCUUCUACUUCUUGCACUUCAUUCCCGACUCUCCUCCCCAACCCGAACUCCCUUGCUACUUCUACUACUUCAACCACUCCUGUCACCCCACUCCAUUCCCUUGGCUUUUCGAUCCUGAUCGCCCGAUUCCGUUUUCUGCUUCCUCAGGUUCAAACAGCAACUCUCAUUGUUGUUCAAUCCCACCAAUUCCAAUUCUUUUAAGACUCCAAAGACGUCAAUGGCAGAGGCCUCAUCAACCGAGAAAAAAUAAACAAGUAUUUGAGUCGGAGGAAGACCUGGCUGUGGACUUGGCUGGGUAUGUCGCCCAUCUAUCUGAUCAAUUCGCCAAAACAAGGGUGCCUUCACCCUUGUUUUAUCCGGGGGUUCUCUUGUCAAGUCUCUCAGGUCAGUGAUAUGCGAUAUCCUCCUUCUUUCUAAUAUCUAUCUCUCCGUUCUAUUGAUUUGGGAUGCUGGGAUGGCAGGAAAUUAGUAGAGCCUCCCUACAUUGAUUUGGUGAUUGGUCCAAAUGGCACGUUUUCUGGGCGGAUGAAAGAGUUGUUCCAAAGGAUCAUCCCGAUAGCAAUUAUUUUCUGGCCUAUAACGGCUUUCUAUCCAAGGUUAAGAAGAAGCAUGACCAUUGGCUUUACAAAUUCUCUUUUUAUCUUGGGAUUUAAAAUACUACCCACGAGUGAUAUGAGCUUAUCCUUCUAAUUCUUGCUUAUCAUUUGAUCGCAUUCUGCUAAUCUGUUGCAUCUUUAAUCCAAUUCGUGGAUGGAUACUUGGUUAUAGCUUGUAAACAUAUGAUCUGGGAUUUUAAGCUUAUUAGUUAAGCUUAGUUCCUUCAACAUUGCGGUCAAGUUUUUCAGUGGAAUGUUAAUUUGACCUAUAUAAUUAUGCCUCGUGCAUGCCGCUUUUUGUACAUUUACACUAGAUGGCAAAAGAAAGAUUUGUAUUCAGGUUUCUCUCUCCCCCCCCCCCUUUCCUCUCUUUCACACUAAAACUUUUGUGUCUACAUACUCUUGGAAGCUUGAAGAUGGUGUAAUAGAAAAUGUGAUGAGUUUGGGCUAAAAUAAGAGCACAAGGAACAGAUGACCUCACUAACAGCUGUGUUCCUCCCUAUGGUGGAUGAGUUAAUGGAAAUCGUCAUCUGAACAAGCGCUUGACAUGGUGUUAAUACAUGAAGCUCAGAUUGUUAUUUGAAAGUAUAGGCUUUUUCUAGCAAUUUCUACAUUCAUAGAUCACCCUGUGCUUGAUGUUGACAGCAUUCUGAUGUACUACUCAAAGAGUAAUUGGUGUGAUGGUUCUGGGAUCCCCUGACAUCUAAUAAAUUAAAGCUCUUCCCAUAAUAAAACUUAGAUUUUCUAAAAAAUCCCUAUGAAAAAUAGAGUUUUGCCCGGGGAUUAAUGUUGGAGAAAUUUAGACUUUGCCCCUUUCAUCUAUAUUGUUGUAACCUUCACUAUCAUGAAACAAAAUUCCUUGGUUUGUCAUCAGUCAUGGGCAAGUUAGUUUUCAAGUUUAAAUCAUAGAUCUCUUCGUAAAGAGCAGAAGUGCUGACUAAAGUGCUAGUGCAAUACUUCUGCAUAAAGAAAACAUAUUUUAUUUAUGAACAACUUGAACGUGAUAGGUUAGCAACAAUUCUCCUUUAUUUGGCAUCAUUUUCCCAUUGUGCUUCGUUUUUUGCCUCACAUUUAUCCCAUAUGUUCUUUCAUUCAGUUACUUCUUGUUCUGCAUUUAUGGCUUUGCCAGAGGCCUUAAAAGUUCCCAUGCAUUGGUGGAAUAGUUGUCAUUUGGUGAAAGCCACUGAAUGUUGUUUCAAACAAUAGAGUUGUUAUUAAUUGAGCUUAAUAAGGAAUGUUGCUCUUGUAUUUGAAGUUACUUGCAAGGCAAGGAAGUAGAUUGUCUAUUAUGUGUGAACUUAAUGAUAGUCCAAAAACAAAGUAUGGCAUGAUUCGUUAACUAUCUUGUUGUAGGAGAUUUAUACAUGUGCUUGUAGUCUAUAUUUGUUUAUUGCAGUUUAUCUUCUUCUCUCCUGCCCUGUUGUUUUGUGUUACCUUCACUUUAUUGUGGCUGUGAUACUUGUUUUUACUUGCAGAUUAGAUGAACCAAAUUUGUUUUGUAGCCAUCCUAUUCCCCUCCAUGAAUGAAUUACCUGAAAGUUUCUGAACUUGUGUAAUUUGUUAUUCCUUUGUCUGCCAGAUUCCAAUUCCUGUUGGCAACGUGUAUGCCAUAAAUGAUGCAUUGUCUGCUGAAGGUGCUGCAGAUGACUAUGAGACCUGUCUCAAGCACUUGGUUAAGAACAGGACGAUAGAAGUAUCAGAGGUCAAUGGUUUUUCCAAAAUUUGAUCUCAUGCUUUUGGGAAUGGGACCAGAUGGGCACGUUGCCUCUCUUUUUCAUGGGCAUCCACUUGUGAAAGAGAACAAGAAGUGGGUUACUUUCAUCAAGGACUCGCCAAAACCUCCUCCGGAGAGGAUAACGUUGACAUUCCCUGUAAUAAAUGCUUCCGCACAUAUUGCACUUGUUGUAGUAGGAGCUGGUAAAGCCGAUGCUGUUCGUUCAACACUGGUAGUGAUCAGGACACCGAUUUGCUUCCGUGCACAUGGUUUCACCUGACGGGAAGUUGAAUUGGUUCUUGGACAAGGGUGCGGCUUCAAAGCUGUAGGGUGCACACUUGCCUAUAACAACAUCAGUUGAUCUUGCUCGGUAAAUAUCCCUUGGUCUUGAUGUCUUACCUUGGGGAUGUGCUUGAUGGCUUUUGUAAGCUUAUCAUUAUUAUGUAAAGUACUGUGUUUCUGUUUACUCAGAUUAGCAGCAGGCAAGAAUUGAAUAUUCCCGAUGCUUGAAUGCCUUAUGGUGAUUUUUUUUCCUUUCAAAUUAUCUGUGGUAAGGAUUCAUGGAAAUUUUGGGUUUCAGUGCUGGGGAAUAAGGUACUUGGCGUCUGUCUUCUUUUUGUGAUGUUGAGUCCAUGUAUUAAGUUAUCUAACAGUUGAAGACAGCCCAGGGUUUAUGUUUAAUCAUAGGGUAACUACUUUUGGUGUCUUGCGUGCUGUUCCCCCUUCCGUUGCACCAGGGCUGGCGAGGCCGCUCAAUUUACGUCCUCGUGUUGUUGCAGAUAGAAAAAAGGUGUGAGCCUUUUUAACCAACUUGUAUUAGGUGAACUGGCCACCAGAUUGGCUGCAGAUCAUGGAUUCAAACUUUUGGCACCAAAAUGGUAAGAAAAAAAAUUAGAAAAGAGAAGGAUAAGUUGAGUUUUGAGUGCCAAUUCUGAAAGUAUCAAAUAAACAGAGGCACCACUCCUACCAUUGCAUAGCGAAUUGGUGCCAACACGGAUUUCCACGUAUCGAAAUCAUGAUGUGUAUGCCAGAAUCUUCUUUGUUUUUCUUGGUAAACAUAUGUUUCACUGAUGAGUUCUCAAACCAAGAAGACUGCACUUAAUCGCAAAGCUAAUCCAGUUCUGUAGUUAAUCUGGCAAGUUCAAGUACAGUCAGACAGCUCGACUAGUGACAAAAGCAAAAACCAGCAACCAAAGACCGUCUUCAUAUUGGGGCUCUCCCCUCUGCCCAAGUUUUGCACAUUAUUGCUUGCUUAUGUGUCGCAGUUCCAGUGAUUCAUCAUCAAUCACAGAGAAAGGUUCCUUCGCGUUGUCCAUACGCAUCAGUGUAUUAUUUGACCUUAAGAGAGUUGUUGUCUCCAUAUAAUUUGAACCGCAAAGAAUUGAUUUUGCUUAAAAACUAGAAGAUUUGGCAAUUAGCAGCCCAGAUUUAAUUAAAAGUCACAUCAAUCGCGGUUAGCAGUGCUCAUGAUGGUUCAAUUGCAGAGCCAUCUUUUUCGCGAGUGAAACUGCACGACGAAUCAUAUACGAAUCCGAGGCCCGACUGGACCGCCGACUACAGAAGAAUUUUGCGCACUAUAUAAGUAUGGUGGUGCCCCGCUCAGAGGGAAAUUGGCAGCAAGUUGCAAUCUUCAUCCGAAUUUUUCAGAAGGCCAAACGACAAAAAAUCUCGAAUCAAACCGGAGGAGGAGGAUGGCUAGCGAAAAAGCGAAGAAGACAUCCUGAAAUUCGACACCGAGGAUGAUGUCGCGGUGGCUCUGGCCAAAUACACCGCCGAUCUCUCCCAAAGAUUUAUCCAAGAGAAAGUGUUCUUUCAACGUCGUCUCUCGAGUACCUAAUCGACACUAUGAGGUACACCAUCUAAUCAACAGUACGAUGUUCUCCUUUUCUUUCUUUUUGUUUUUUAGUUUUAUUUUUUAAAUAAAAAACAUCAUUUAAUAAAAUUCAACAAAGCGUGCAAGGAAAAAGUUAACGCUCCAAAAUCGAUUUGGGUUUAAUGGAGCAGAUUACUAUGAUUCAACCUCACAUGUUGAUCCCAUGAUUAACGUGUUAAUAUCCAUCCAUAUUUCAGGUAUCUAACCCAGGCCCCUCACAAGGAAUCAGUGGAUUGGUCAAAAUGGAACAUAUUUUGUUGGAUGAGAGGUGGUUCCCCUGGAGCACAAGGACAGCAAUUACAAACUUGCCUACGAUGGAUUUCUUUCAAAGGUGACUUCUUUGUUAUUUCUGCUGUCAUUUCUAAUUAAUUUCUUACUCAGGCACAAUGGUGUAUCAUGUUUUCGAGCGUCUAAUUUGCAAAUGGAGUGAGUUCUUAAUUUUCAAUUUAGCUAUAUGCACGGCACAGUCUCAGAUUCUAAUCUAGCUAUCCACAAACAUUGGAAUGAAAACAAAGAACUCUCAGCUAAAAGAUGAACAUUUUCCCAACGGAAGGGGCUUGACUUUAGCCAUGGCUAGCUAGAUUGAUGGAGCAGAUACAUCUGCGGCCUCUGGUGGUAUUGACGCUAGUUGUCUGUUCUUUAUUACUACUUUAUAUGCCAAAAUCUAUACUCUAGAAUCUCGAUUUGAAAUCGACUUUUCACAGCUGAGUGAAUUCCGAAAGUUGAAAAGUUUAUACGGCCGUUAACUUUGUGAAUUCUGUUCGCGAUGCUUAACCAGAAUAAGAUGGCUGAUCUUUUUCUAUAAUCCUUUUAUUGAGCUGGAAAUACCAAAGAGGAACCGGGAACGUACGUCAACUGUUAUAAAAAUGUAUCUGAAAUGAGAAAAUGGCCAAAAUCAUAUAAUUUUGAACCACGCCUUGAAACGAACACUGUAGAAUCUGAUGUAUGUAAUGGACUUCCCACUAAUUUGAAUGAUCGAAUGUGAAGUCUCAAACAGGAAGCCAUGUUGUGCUUGUAUCUGCUGCCUCUUCACAGCUCGGUUGUUGGCCUUGCCAUAUCGGAAGGCAUCAAUCAAGUGCUUUCUUCGUUUCAGGUAUCAAUUCCAGGUGGUCAAAUUUUCCCAUCAAUGACAAAAAAGUCACCUGAGGGUGCAGCUGAAGAUUUACGAGGCCCUUCACCGGAUUUGGUCGAGAGAAAGAUCCUACCUUUGUCAGAUGCUACUGGUUUCCCCAAAUUCGAUCUCAUGCUUCUCGCAUGGGACCAGAUGGGCAUGUGGCUUCUUUAUUCCCUAACCAUCCUCAGCGAAAUGAGAAGGAGCGUUGGGUGACCUUUAUUACAAACUCGCCAAAACCACCUCCACCAAGAAUCACGUACACCUUUCCUGUGAUCAACUCUUCGUCAGAGAUUGCAAUGGUGGUAACUGGCGCCGAGUUAGCCACUGCAGUGAAAGAUGUGCUGGGAAUCCCAACUCGAAUUUGCCUGCCGCUGAAGUUUCCCCCCAGGGACUUCUCACCUGGUUUUUGGACAAGGAUGCUGCUUCAAAACUUUGAAGCACCAGGGAGCGUCCCUUGCUCUUUUCAGCUAAUAAAAUCAGAGUGCUAUGUGACAAAUAAAUAUUGGCUACCUGGAGGUUGGAAGUAGGCCCAAUUACUUGAAGCGUUAUGCUUUGUCUAAGAACGAUGUAUUAAAUCUUGUUACCUGCCCGAAUCCUGCUCUGUUUCCGACACUAUUAGUUAAGAGACUGAUGAAUCAUGAUGACUGUCUUGUUUCCUUUCCCACUUUUAACAUUACAGCAGGAGAUCUGUUUAUUCGCGUACUUUUGUUGGUCCUAGAGAGCUGAAAGGCUAGCAAUCUGAUUGUUUUCUUGAAAGAAGGAUCCCAAGUACUAGAAGCCGGGCUGCAAAGCAAGGAGUUGCGGAUACUAUCGCUCUAACUUCAUCCGGCUGGGAGUUACGUGGGGGAGCAAGUUAAAGGUACCACAUGAGGAAAUCUAAACUUUAAAUUCUUUCCCUUGGACCUGCUGCCCCAUACCAAUCAUCAUAAGAGAAAUAUUCUCAGCUUCUCAAUGCAGUAUAGCUGUAACAAAGAUAUUCCAAGUCUCAAUCUACCGAGGCAUUAUUGAGUAGUACAACUUAGUUCUGUGGGUCUUAUCAUAUUUUUAGCACUCGCCUGAGAGGCAUGGCGGCAAGGACGACCUCUUCAUCAUAGGCUGCAUCGCUUUUUUUUUUUUUUGGUUAAGAUCGCCUAAACUCUGCGGCGAAAUGCUUUGACAAAAAGAAAGGCUUUGUUUCGUUCCUGCAUUAUAUGGGCUUUGAGAUAUCAGAUAUGGUCCAAUUUUUGCAGUAGGCAAAUCUUCAACUUCGCAAACUAGAAUUUUCAUAUUACAAGGCAACCACCCACUUUUUUUUUUUUUUCUCUUUUCUUUUGCAGCAAUUUUUUUCAUGUUGGAAACAGUAAAUUAGUUAAUCUAAAGCACUGUCGAUCAAGCUUAGCACGUUGAGACAAACUUUGGUCUUCCUGCAUUGUGGGUUUGAGAUAUCAGGAAGGAUAUAUAUAUAUAUAUAGGUUUUUGGGCAUGUCUUCUUCCGACUGGAAUUUCUCGUUUAGGUCUCUGUCUAAGAAUCCAGACAGGAGAAGGAAGAAAUUUUUCUACGAUGGUGGCGUUCUCAAGUGCAUCCCCCAUCUAAUUAACGCGCGUCAGCAUCAUGUUAUCCAAGUGAUUUUUAGAACGUGCUCGUUGGUGAAGUGGAAGUCUAGGCCCCGGUACUUUGGAUGAUACAGGGAUUAACUUUUUUUUAUCGUGUGUAUGAUGACAUCACUAGGGGAUUUGUCAGUUUAUGAAAAUAUAAAUAAUCUCCGCAUCCGCAUCAAUUGAUGAUGGUUUGCCAUUGUAAACUUCCAAAACCAAAAUGAAGAGAAAAUAAUAUGUUCUUUUUAUUUCUCUCGCUCCCUCUGUUUGAUAGUGCAACUUAACUACUACUAUUAUAAACUGGAGCAAUCAUUUUUUUUUUUUUGUUUUUCGGUCCAUGCGAGGUGGUUUGAAUUUCUAACCUGCAUGCGAGCAUAGUUGACAAACCAUAGAGAUUAAACUUGGUCCAACCUAAAGUAAAGAGUUGAACCGUUCCGCCUAAUGAACAACUUACCAAAUCGGGCUGGGCCUCUAGUUCUGUUUUGAAUAAGGGUGAUUUGGUCAAACCCAUUUCAGUCAACUAAGAAUUUUUCCGAUUUUUAAGAAUUUGUUAAGAUGUAUGAUGUUAGGAUUUUUUGAAAAGAUAAAAUUAAUUAACAUAUAUAUAUAUAUAUAUAUAUGCAAAGGAGGAUAGGAUAGUAAUUAUUACUAGGUAUAUAUAAUUGACAGGUUGGAUGAGAUUUAAGUGUGUUAAUGGGUGCCUAUUAAACAUAUGUAUAUAUGACAAGAUUUGAACAUUGUGUAAAAGAUUUUUUCCCUUGUUUAGUUUUUAUUUGAUAACUAGUUAUUUUUUAAAAAACUUGUUUUCACUUUUUAUUACAUAAUUAAUCCUUUUAACUUUCAAACUAAAACGUUAUCAUCAUAUUAUAAUAUUUGAGUAGUUAGAAAAUUAUUCUUUAAACAAAAAAAAUAAAACAAUAAAAACUAUACUAUAUCCUUGAAAAUAAGUGAUAUAAUCUUGUUUUAUAUUUGACUAUAUAAUUUAUUCGUGUAAAAGUACAAUAAAAUGAAAUUAAGUCUUCUAUGAAUAUUUAUAUGUCCGUUAUAUAUCUUUUUAAAUACAAUAAUUAGUAUCUAAAUACAUUUCAUUAAAUAUUUUACGUAUUGUAAAAUUAGUAGUAUUUUGUGUACUUAUAGAUAUUACUUUUGCAACGCAUCAAUUCAACGGCCAAUGAUCCACCUAUUAAACGAGGGCUCCAUUGACCCGGUCCGUUGAAAUCCUUGUCGGACCAAGUCCAUUAACGACGCAUCAUGCGGGUCCUCAAAGCAAGUCUUCUCUCUUGGGAGCAACUGCCUAUGAGUCUUUAUACGGCCCCAAGAAGAUGACUUUUAAUUAGCUAGACUAGAGGAAUAGGAAUAGCCAUCCAUCCCUGAUUCCUCUAAUAUUUUCUGCGCAGGUAUUAAUAAUUUGCCAUCUGGGUUGUCUGUCUGAAUAGUUGGUGCGAUUGAAGUUAACUUGUACGAGAACCCAGUCGGUGAAGACCGAAGACUCUCGUGUGUUUGGAUUGCAAUUUUUCAAAGAAAAAAUUUGAAAAAUUGUUAUGUCUUUCGUAAAUAUAUUUUUUAAUUUCACAUGAUGUAUUUACAAUUUUUUUUUAAAAAAAAAUUCAGAAAAAAUGCAAUUCAAACAAGAUUGGUCAGAUCAAACAGGAGUACAAUUUAACGGCAGGAAGAACAAAAUCAAACUUCCUUUGCUGGGCAGCAGCGUUGAUUUCUUUCUUGCCCUAGUCUCAGUUUAGAUGUUAUGAUGACAAUCAAAAAAGAGUCAAAAGAACGCAUCUUUUUCUUUUCUGGCUGUGCGACAGUCAAUUAUGUCACGAAGGAGCUGCCAACAGAUCAAAGCCAUUGGUGUCGCGUGUUGCAUCUGUGCCUUUUGUAUUCGUUCAAGAAAGGGGCAGAACGCCAAAUUAAGUAUAAUGUCUAGUCCACCGAUAAAAACCAUUAAGAAUGGAAGCGGGGGUUCAGAGGGUAAUAAAUUAAUCAUCACUCUCGCGAGUUAAUCCCUCAGAAAAUUGAAGUCAUUAUUUAGAGAUACGCCUGCCUGAAAAGGAUGCGGCAACACCAACAAACACAAUCAUAGCCAUUGCUCGUGAGUGAAGCAGUUUCAGUGGCUUUUAACCAAAAAAAUGCAUCGACCGCAAAGAAAAAGCAGACGCAAGAGUAUGAAUCUGGUGUGAAAAAUUGGACGUACAACUCUUGCUUGUGAAGAACGAAUGGAAUUUGGUCGCGGCUUCAUUUGCUACACCGUAGGGCAGCCUAUUCUCGAUGUUGCUGACACUAAAAGAUUAUUCCUUCUUGUUACUUUUAUCCGGGGGCAAGCUGUUCACUUCAUGUGUUAUUACUAAUAACUGGUUUUACUAAAAGACAACUCGUUAACGUCGUUCUCGCGCGCGCAGAACAAAUACUGGUUAGUAAGACACAAGCUACGUAUUAAUAAGAAUGGAAAUCGUUCUAAGACGGAAUGAACAGAUGGUGGUAGCACCCGAAACCAAAGAAAGAUCUGAAAAACCCCAAUAUGGAAAUUGCUAAGUGGACUUGAAUAAAUCGGUUUCGAAUCUUCUGUCCCCAAAUUAGUCUCUAUCUCCUCUGUUCCUUCUUUGUACAAUUGACACGUGUGUCUCUAACUCUUUUUGAUAAUUCAAAUUCAAACAAACUGAUAAUAACUAAUUGACAAGUUUACUCAAAACCAAAACUUGCAAUCUUCUUCUUCGUGUAAAAAACUAGAGUUGAAGAAAUUCUGAUCGGUAACCAUCGCUUGAUUUAUUCCAAGAAAAAAAUAGUUUUGAGUUAUUGGAACCGCUUGAUUUAUCCAAAGGCAAAAAAGUUUUGAGUUUUAAUUGAUUCUGAGUAAACUUGUCAACUGAUUAUUAUCGAUUUGUUUGAGUUUGGGUUAUCAACAAGUUAAAGACACAUGGUAAUUGUACAAAGAAGAAACAGGAGGAAUAGAGACUAAUUUGAGGACAGAAGAUUCGAAGCCACUUAAAUCAGAUUACUCCUCCUCCUCCUCCAACACCAGCACUAUUUUUUGUACAGAACAAAAAAUAAAGCCCAGUUGCCAUUUCUGAACGAGUUCAGCCAAACUAGAAAACCACCCAGUAAUUGGGCAACCUCCGAUUUAGCACGUAUGCACCAAAAUAGAAACAAGGAAAAUCAUAGGUCUAAAACUUUUAAAUUACUACUUGAUUUUAGUUUAAUAAUAACGUUUUGUGAGAUUAAUUUAUGAAAAUAACUAAAAACAAGUUGAUCGAGAUUUAUUAUUCUCUUAUUUUUAUUUUUAAUUCAAAUUCAACUCGAUGAACAUUAAACUUCAUAUCUACGAACUUGACCUUACCUCUAGUUCAGUAAGAAUGUUCGCGUCACUGUAUUUUGUAUUUUGUUUCACUUUUGAUUUCCCUUUCUGCUCUCUCUUAUUUUUCUUCUUAUUUUUUUGCCCUUUUUGCGCUGCCACUGUUUUCUCAAUACUUUUAUGCCAUGUUGAAAAGAAUCGGUCCUUCCUCUCACUAGGAACGCCCCCACUCACGUAAACAAAGAACACAAGAACCAAUUUAUGGAUACUUUGAGGUUUAUUUGUUUGCGUAUAGUCUUCGUAGGUUGCAAUUUGUUCACUUUUUGUGGUAAUUUGCUUGCAAUAUUCUUUGAUACGCAGUUGGACUCAGUGCAGUUGGAGUUUCAUGCAAUUGAAUCCAAUUGUCGUAUUCUUUAUAUUAUUUGAUAUAUAGUUACCUUAUAUUGUUAUAUCAAUAAAAAAAAGUGAUGUACAUAAAUAAAAUGCGCGAGGUAUAUUCAAUAUUAUACUAUAAUGUAGAUGUACAUAAAAAAAAUCCAAAUACGUAUAACAAUUGCAUCAAAUUACACAAAUCAUAAUUGUACCGAGUCCCCUCCCGUUGAAAGGAUUCAGUGAAACUAGGGCUCCGUACGAUUCAGUUUGGUUAUUAGAUUUUGUAAUAUUUGGUGUAUAGUUAUGUUAUAUUAUUGUACUUGGAAUAUAAUAUUAUAGUAUAUUUAUAUAUCAAAAAUUUGACCACAUAUAAUGACAGGACAAAUCACAUAGAAUACAAUCUCAAAGAGCACUUGCAGAAGAGUUGUCUUCGCAUCCCGCCCUAUAACCAUUCCAGAGGAAACGAUUUCUCACCAACCGGAACAAUUCAGGGUAGAGAUUUUCCUGUUUAAAAUUUUGUAAUAGUCAACAAUUCAACAUUGAAAGCCUUAAAAAAUUAUAAAAAAUGUGAUAGUCACGGGAUUUGAAUAUUAGUGUAUUUUUGUCGUAACGUGAAUAAUUUUAUAAUUUAAUCUAUCAUAAUAUAAGAAGAGAAGGAGGAGCCGGUGAGAGUUAAAAAUCAUUAUCAGAGAACUUUAUUUUCUAUAAUCUAAUCUACUCCAAUUCAAGAGGAAAGGAAGCUAAUAGAGGUUAAAUCACGGAUAAAGCAACUAAAAAUAGUCAUGUAUAAUGACAAAUUGACAGAAAGUAAGGAUUUUUUUCUUUUUUUUUUUUUAAAAAAAAGAUGCGAUGUAAGGAUUAAACAUUUUUUUGCAGUGACCACCAAGCUUAAUUAUUUGUUGGUGACCACUAGCCCAAAGUCUGGACUUCCCCCAACCAAAAAUAUACAGAACUGAGCCUAGAGAGUAGAGUAGACUACCUUAGAGAGUCUAUAGAGAGAGAAACAAGAAGAACGAAAGAAGGGAAGAAAGAAGAGACAAGGAAAGGGACUGAUGAGGAAAAAAGUAAAGUGAAAAAGAAAAAGAAAAACAUUGGGGGAAGAAAAGCAGUUGGUGAUCUUUAGGUUGGUUAUGGUGGAAAAUCCACUAGGCUUGAUGCAGGGUAACUGCUGCUGCUGAGGGGCAAAACUGUCAUUCCGGAGUCUUCCAUCCCUCCUUUACUCUUUACAUCCAUCAUCCAUGCUCUUGCUCUUCUUCUUCACUACUUCUACAGCCUCAGCUGGUGGACCUUCCCCUGUUGAACUAAUCAGUAACACUAUCAACAAGCUAACUGGAAUCUUCCUUAUCGGCGGCGGCGGCAGCGGUGGAGGCGGAGGAGACGAAGGGCACGACAGUGGAUUCUGGAAGUACGCAACAUCUUCUAAUGCCGGAGUAGCUUUCACUGUCACGGCCUUGGCCGGUCUCGCCUUGGCCGCCGCCGUUCUCUGCAACACUAGGUAAACUGGAAGCACGAAAACCAAAGUUUUCAAAAAAAAAAAAGACUGAAAAUUACUGCUACAGAAUGAAAUUUGACAUACCUUAGGAAUCAAAGUCCAUUGGUAGAGUAAGUUAUCUUUCUCCGAAGAAGGGAUUUUUUUUUGGGGUUUUAAAGUGUUGUAAGUUAGUAGAUGAAAGCUCUCAGACGAAGUCAGACUUCGUCAUCUUCCAAUUCCAAUUCACCGUCUUCGUCAUCGUCGUCGUCGUCGUCGUCGUGGAUUUAUUUGAGAUCGGUUCUAUUCGUAGUAGCGUCCUCUUCGCCAGCUUCUUGUUCUUCUUCCGAUCGGUGAGUCUCUAUCAAUAUCUACUCCGUUUCUAGAUCUUCUUUUCCAUGUACCUCGCUAUGAAUUUUUCUUCUCCAAUUCUACAGCUAGAAAUGCUAGUGUUCUGUAAAUUUAGAUCUCAGAUUUCUGAGUAGUGAGUAGUCGUCAGUCAGUGUCGAGCUUGCCAUAGUCUCACUUCCUCAAUCAGUGAAGUAUUUUUUUCAUUUUGUCUUUUCCCAUUUUGCAUCAAAAGUGGCUGAGAGUUUAAUGGUGUCAACGUUGGUUAAUGGAUUUCAUUCUGUUUCACGUACUACAUGUUGCAUCCACAUAACUGAUUGUUCCUUUCUAUAUUUGAUUGAUAGCAUUUCCUUUUGUUUGGAGAAUAAGACUGUUAUUUUUAUUAUUAUUUUUUUUUAAAAAAAAGUUGGGUACUUGAUGUUGGACCAGUAUGCAUUGCAAUAGUGUGUCAAGCAAAAUUAAAGUGUGACUGGUGCUCUGUCUUGGCUGUGCAAUUGCCAUUGUUUAGGGUGCUUUAGUUAGAAACUCUCUCUUCUUUUCCGGUUGCUGAUAUUCCAUACAAAUUUCGUGUGUUUUCAUAUGUGGAAAUGUUUUUGUAGAAGAGAACUUUUCUGGAGUCUAAAUGAGCAUAGCCCUUAAGAUAUCAAAUAGUAUUGUGACAGAUCUUUCUUAAGGAAGAGCCUAACUUCAACUCAUUUUGCAUGAUGUCCUUCUAAGGAAGUUUUAUCCAUAGCAAGGCUGGUUAACCAAGUGAUGCUUAUGACCUGUUCUGUUUCCUGUACUUCACAUCUCAAUUUGCUAUUUAAAUACUAAAACAAAUCAAGUUCUGGUGAAAUCCUUGUAGCUGAAGAUUUUAGCUGUCUGUUGUUGCUGGAGAACAAUAAUCUGGUUUAAAUUCUAACUUAAUUUGUACAAAUGCCCUCACUUGCAUUUCUUUCCUGCCCUCAGAUAUUGGAAAUUAGGGAAGUUCGACCAUGAAUGUGCCUGGUUUAUAUAUUUGUUGUUGCCUGGAAAAUCUUUCCUCCUUGAUCCUUUCAGCUACAUGUUGUUCUGUGUUAAUGUGGCCAUUUAGUGGUAUUUCUAAUUAAUUUGUUAUUUAUUUUCAGGGGCCGUCUAAAAUCUCCAUGGUCCCGAAGAAAGAGAAAACAUGCUUUGUCACCUCAACAAUGGAGAAGUAUGUUUACACCAGACGGAAAACUUCGUGAUCGUGGAGCCAAAUUUCUCAAGAAAGUUAGAAGUGGGGUGAGUUUCAUGCAUUGUUUUGUAUAUACUAAUUAAUAAGUAUUUCUGUUAUUAUAGAGCUGAACUUCAAAACUUUCAUUUUCUGUUCAUAGGGCGUUGAUCCAAGAAUCAGGGUGGAGGUCUGGCCAUUCCUUCUUGGAGUGUAAGCCUUUUCACAUUUUCCUGAAUUUAUUUAUUUUUUUGUUACUGGCACACACGUUCUUUACUAUUUCCUCAGUCCAUAGAACAACUUUUCCUGAAGGCUAGAAUUGUUUGCUUUCUCUCUCCCGUCCGCGCCCCCCCCCUCCCCAAAAAAAAAAAAAACUGGAAGGGGGAACUCAGGGAGAGGCUACUGGAGGGGAGUAAGUUUACAGGAUUUCAUAGCUAAAUGGUGUACAUGGUACUUAAUUUAGACGUUUUUGCUUUGUUGGUUUAAUAAUUGGAGUAUCUUGUUGCCAAUUCACAUUAUGAACACUUGUGCUGAUACUUUUUCUGUUACAGGACUUGGGAAAUAAAUUGCAGAUAGCAACUAUCUGUAUCUGUUUGAGUUACUAUUUUUUUUUUAAAUAAGAAUAUUUAGCAUAGCAACUACCUGAUGACUUCCACUCUUAUUUGCAGUUAUGACUUGGGCAGUACACAAGAGGAAAGGAAUAUUAUAAGAACUGAGAAAAGGUAUUGCGCAUGGUUCCCCCCCCCCCCCCCCCGCUCUCAAAAGCCAAAAAAAAAUCUUCUCUUCUCUAUCUCUCAAUGCAAGGUUCCUUCCUUGUCUCCUCUCUCUCUCUCUCUCACACACACACAUGCAGAUGCACACAGUGAGUUUGUGUGUUUUGUUUCAACUUCUUCUAAAUUUUCUAGUUUCGGUUGAACAACAUGGGUGAAUGCAGAAAGGAAUAUGAGAAGCUUCGAAAGCAGUGCCGCCGAGUUUUGAAACAUAAUGAUGAAAUCUUUAAGUUGAGCGAAGCUGGUGGCACAAGCAGCUUCCUCCUCGUAGGCUGUGAUUCUCCAAAUUCUGAAGAUGCUGUCAGUGCUAGGGAAUCCCUUUCCAGUGAGGAAAGGAGCCCAUCCAUCAACUACUCAGAACAUCUAACCGCAUCAAUGUUGGAUGGGAAUGCUGAUUCUAAACGAUUUACAGAUGCAAGUGUGAUUUAUGAUUCUGAUUCUUCAGACUCAGAUUCCUCAGAAGACCCUGAAGUCAGUCAAACUUUUCCAUCGUCACUGAAAGUAGGGAGGAGAAUGAUCCUCGUAUGUCCCAAGGAUGAAUCAUCUCCUUCAAAGACUGAAGUCCAGUCACGAAAUAUUGAAGAUUUUGCCUCAUGGCAGCGGAUUAUUCGCCUUGAUGCAGUUCGUGCAAAUGGAGAGUGGAUAUCGUAUUCCCCUACUCAGGCUGCCGUACCAGAUGAAAGAGCACGUUGUUCUGCUGAAACUGUUGGGUUGAAGGACUAUGACCACCUAGAACCUUCCAGGAUUUUCCAUGCUGCUCGACUAGUUGCCAUUCUUGAAGCCUAUGCUCUUUAUGACCCUGAAAUUGGCUACUGUCAGGGAAUGAGUGAUUUGCUGUCCCCAAUCGUUGCUGUAAUGACUGAGGACCAUGAAGCUUUCUGGUGUGUUUGUUGGUUUUAUGAGGAAGGCUCGCAUAAUUUUAGGCUCGAUGAGGUUGGAAUCAGAAGGCAACUGAAUAUUGUUUCUAAAAUUAUAAAAUUCAAGGAUUCACAUCUCUACCGACACUUGGAGAAGCUUCAGGCAGAGGACUGCUUUUUUGUAUACAGGAUGGUGGUGGUACUCUUUAGGAGGGAAUUAACUUUUGAGCAAACACUUUGCCUGUGGGAAGUGAUGUGGGCAGAUCAAGCUGCAAUUAGAGCUGGUAUUUGGAAGUCUGCUUGGAGCAGAAUAAGGCUGCGUGCACCCCCAACAGAAGAUUUAUUGUUGUAUGCCAUUGCUGCUUCAGUCUUGCAAAGAAGGAAACAAAUCAUAGAGAAGUAUAGCAGCAUGGAUGAGAUUUUAAGGGAGUGCAAUAGCAUGGCUGGGCAUCUAGACGUGUGGAAACUCCUUAAUGAUGCACAUGACUUGGUUGUGACCCUGCAUGACAAGAUAGAGACCCCUUUUUGAUGGUGUCAUUAAAAUUAUGAGCUUAUGACUAACUAAUUUGUUCAUCUCAGCCGGUGGCGGUGAGGGCCUUUAAACAGAAAGCGCGCAGUAAGACAGAUAUUUCAUCAUAUUGCUGGCUUUGAACGUUUUUUGGAGGGUUUAGAUGUGCCAGCCAGGUAACAUACUCACUGAGAUAUGUAUUUCUGGAGUAUCCAUGCUCUGCUUCUGAUCAAAGUUCGUGGAAUCAUUCAAUUGACGUUUGCAACUUAAUAGAUUCACUACCAACGUGAAGCUAUGCUAACUUAGUUCUUCUUCAUAUAGAUGGCCUUCUUAUGAAUCCCAACCCACCUCACAUCCUGCGCUAGAUUUGUUAUCUGUUCAAAUUGCCAGCGAAGUCUGCUUGCUGCUGCUAGUUAAUAUUUAUCAAAAUGGUUUCAAGGUCCCCAACAUUUUUGGGGAAACAUUUGCCUCCGGUGGCCUUGUAUCAGUAUCAUUUUUAAUAAAAUAUGUUCUGCAAUCAAGAUUAUAGAUGAUAAACAAACAAUUCUAUCCCAUUGAACUGAUGUAGCACUUGGAUGUGAAAUGCCAUCAGUUGCUGAAUUAGGCGUUUAAAAGUUCACUACUAUUAGUCACAAGCAUGCAUUAUAGUUGUCUUAUAUUUAGUGUGAAACCAAAAUUUGAAGAACAGGCACGGUACAAUUGCAAAAAUUGGUGCUCGAUGGAUCAUAACACGUAGCAGUGACUAGGUGAACAAUGGCAGACUCCCCGUGUAACAAAUGCAUGCAGAAAGCUGGGGUUCUAACCUGCCGCUUGAGAGGACUAGCAGAGCAUUUCGAAGUUGGAAGAUAGCAUUUUUUUAAUUAAACAAAAAAAAAAGACUCGAAGAACACCAAACAAGCUAAAAAUUCGACCAUGCAAGCGCAACUGGAGUCCUGACUCCUGAUUACAACAAGUAUAAAGAGAAGAAAAGCGCAAGCGUAAUGGAGGAUAAUGCAAAACCGGAUACUAACUUGAGAAUACAAGUCCAGAAUCAGCGCAAAAGUUGUUUUAAGAAAAUGUAAUGACAGUCAAACACUACGUAAAUGGAAGGUCAUCAUAGGACCAGAGCCAAGUGAAUACUAAUUGUUUACUUCUCCUUGGUAUAGUGUCGGACAGCAAAGGCCAAACCCAUGAUCAAGAGGGGUACAAGAAACUGUAAGAUCUUGAUCACGAAUUCUGGAGUCUUGUCAGGGUUAUACUGGGCUUGCUGUGGUGGGAUGUACAUGCGUUUCAGGGGAACUGUGGCCUUGUCUAUCUCCCCAAUGUAGUAUUGGUCCAUCAUAUCUCUAGCAGAGUCACUAUGGCCAACAUCCUCAAAGUCAUUUGUUGCAUCUUUCCCUGAAGAUUCCAUAUAAUGAUCAGAACAGACCUCCAAAAGUCAUAAUCAAGGCCCAAAGGUCAAGAAUUAAGUGUAGCGUCAGCGCAGGGAAUUUAACAACAUUACCAGUUGCUGAAAGCAAAACUUCAUCACCUCCAGGAUGUUCUUCCAUGAACGGGGUAACAUCAUACACCUGAAAGGAAGUCGGCAAUUGUAAUGAAUGUAAAGUAGCAGAAAUGGUCAAAACAGAGAAAAAAAAAUCAUCAAUAAUAACAACAUUUGCCCAACAGCUUAAACAAAUAAUCUCCAAGGGCCAUCAGACCUAAGAGUGCUAGGUUUCCUUUAGCCCAUCAAAUUGGUUUCAGAAUCCUUGCACUGGUAAAGUUUGAAUUAAUACGUCAACUGCAGAACUAAAAGAAGCCAUUGUUUCACCAAACUCACAAAUGUGCAAAGAUGUUCAAACCCACAAGAAGGCCAAAAGACUCUGAUUGCAUCCUAAGAGAAAUCUUUCAACGUCACCUUUGCAAAUACAAAUUUCUUGAACAUCUUACAGAUGCUUUUAACUGAUUAUACACGCCGACUCUCCUAGAGUGCUACAUCAUUUCAUCUGUAGCCCCGUAACAACUGAUUACAAACCUAUAGCGUGUGGAGUAAUUGUUUGAAGAUGCAGUGGUGUACAAGUAGCAGAAAGAGUAUGAAACAGUAUACAGGGCAAGUUUCCACUCUCCUGGAUAAAAACAGUCUGUUGUAGAAACAGAAUGAUACCAUGUAGGGGGAGACAACAAUUUUGUAAUACCUAUUUGCCUAAACAACUUAUCAUCAAAUAAUGAAACGGUUGAUCCUAGGACCUCAUAUUGAAUCACCAAAAAGAUCUGAGCCAUAUAUGACCCAAUUCAGCUUUUAAUAUUACAGUUGUUUGCAAGUGACAAUGAUGUGAGCUGCAUCAGCAUAUAUUUAAGCACUUCAGGCAAGUAGCAUAAAAGAAGAGACAACUUAAUUGGCCCAGAGGAUCCAAAAGUACAAAAUUCCUGGAGCUUCUGCUGGGCCAACAGGAUGAAAUAAAAGUUAUCAGAAGGGAAAUUCAUCUAGAGAGAGAGAGAGGGAGAGAGAGAUAAAUUCAAGAAAUUUCAAAAAUCAACAGCAAGGGUAUAACAAUGAAGAUCGAACAUGAAAAACCUAAAAACCGAGUAGAAGCUAGAGACUUUUAAAGUAAGAGAAGAGAGAUGAAGCGAAAGGAACAAAGAUUUGACCUUUCCAUUGAUAAUCAGCCAGCAAUCCUUGGUCUUGUUGUGCUGAACAACCUCGUCAAAGGUGUGAACCUUCUGAUCUGAUGCCAUUGUUUCCUGCAAAUACUGAACAACAAAAGUCAAACCCCUCCCGCACCCGUAUACCAAAAAAUUUCAAAAACUUUUAUAAGUAUAUUCAUCAUAUCAGUUAGGUUAGGUGAGGGAAUCAGAGUGUUUAGAUUCCGUACAUGAGAUGUAACAAAAGAAACAAACAAACAAGAAGAAAGAAAAAGAAGAAUCUAGAGGAAUUAUUAGCUUACGGGAGGGAGAAGGAUUUUCGGUGAAAUGUAUAGAAAGAAUAGAUUCUCCCUACCUUCUCUCUCUUUCCUUCUCCUUCUCGGAUCGUUAGCCAAACUACCAACACAGAAUCUUUGAAACAAGCGAGAGAGAGAGAGAGAGAGACAGAGCGCGAGAGUACGAGAGCAGCAGCAGCAGCAGCAGCAGCCUGCAAGUCCAACACCCACAACUUGAGGGCCGCGGUAUUGUUAUAUAAACAAACUACACACAGAAACAGAUCUUACGGUGGUCGGGGUUGGUACGGUUCAAAAUUACGGAACUGUCCCCGGAGCCGUGGCACGUAACCACGCGCCUCCUGCACGAGAAUUUACGAAUGCUGAUGCAUAUGCUAAAAUGAAUCCACUUAGUGAAGUCGUUGGCAGCUUCCUGCUUUGCUACAACUACUGCCUAUUUCUGAAUAUCCAUCUAUGAGCCGCGGAGUUUUUGUAGAGGGAUAACCCCCUUGUGUUUCUUUUAAUAUCACUUCGCAUCUUUAAAGUUUUAGAAAUAUCACUUACUUUUCUGAGUAAUUGUAAAAAGGUUUUAUUAACCCUCACUUAACACAUAAUUUAUAACAUAUCAAAUAAAUAGAUUUCAAAAAUUAAAAAAAAAUAAAUGUCAUUUUUUUCUAUUUCUCUUUUCUCCAGCAUUCUCUCUUAUUCAUAUAUUUUUAGAUGAUUAUAUACAAUAAAUUAAAUUUUGUUUAUCUUUUACUUUUUGUGACUGUGAUAAAGUGAGAUAUGAUUUAUUUGCUUAUUUGUUAGAAAACUAGCAAUUUGGAUUGUCAUUUUUCUUUAAAAAAAAAUCGCUUUCCAUAAACACAUUUCUUAACCGUUUUUUUACUUCACAUUACAUCACAUUGUUAUAGUAAAUUUUUUUAUAAAAGUUUUAGAAAGUGGCAAUCCAAACCGGUUCUUGAAGAGAGCAAAUCCUCCUCUGGUUUGGCGUGUAUCCUAGCUUCUAAGCCAGCAUUUUGUUCCGCGACUAACUACUUAUAGGGUAUUAGUUACUAAUAAAUCAUAAGCGUACCUUGAUUUUCUUAGUAUUUUAAUUUGAGUUUCCCAAUGUGUAUUUUGAAAAGGUAUAAUUUUAGGGUUAAAUGUAGAAAACUUCCAUGAGUUAUUACACCGAUUGCACCUUACAUUCUAAAAUUUUUAAUCGGCACUUUACACCAUUAAUCAACUAAAAAAUAAAUGAAAAUAUUAACUCCAAGUAAGUGAUUAAUGAAUCACUAAUUUAUUCUCCAUUAAAAGCUUAAGUGGCAAAAGGCUCCUUUUGGUGGCAAAGAAUUGUCACUUCAAGUAGAUCAAUUUUCAAUUCACAACAAAAGUCUGAAGAAAAAUAUAUAUAAAAAUGAAACAUAGGAUCACUUUAAGUGACAAUUUAGAUUGUGGGGAAUCAAAUGUAAACGAAGUAAAAUACAAAAUACCCAAAAAAAAAGGGAAAAUUGAAGGUCUGCUUUUGUAACUUUUAAAAAUUUCAUCAUCUUUUUUAAUAGGGGUGUGCAAAAUCGAAAAAUUUCGAUUUAUCGACCGAAUUUGAAUUGAAUUCGGAAUUUCGAAUUCGGUAAUGAGAUUUUUUUCAAAUUCGAAAUUUCUAUUUCGAUUUCAAAUCUAUUUUUUAUAUUAUAAUAAUAAUUUUAUAUUCAUGAAUUCGGUGAAAUCGAAAUUCUUAUUUAGAUUUCAAAUUCGUUUUCACACAUAUAUAUAAUAUUUUUUUUAUAUAUAUGUAAUAUAAUAUUUAUAUAAUAAUAAUCAUUUUUAUAUUUAUGAAUUCGGUGAAAUCGGAAUUUACCAAAUUUCAAAUUGAAUUCGGAACGAAUUCGAAUUCGAAAUUGAUGAAUUCAAAAUCGAAAUCAGUCGAAAAUUAGAAUACCAAAAUUUCAAAAAAUUUCGAUUUCAAAGUUCCGAAUUACCGAUUUCGAUUUCGAUUCACACCCCUAUUUCUCAAUGCGUUAUUAUGCCAUAGCUUCUUAUAAUAUGCAAAUUCCAUUUGGAAUCUUGGCAAGAAUUUAAAUAAAGCAAAGCCCAAUAUUUUUUAUAUGAAUUAGCACAAUAACAGCAACAAAGGUCAAUAUCAAAUCUAAAUUCAAACCCCACAUAUUAGUAAAUAAAAUAAUAUUAGAGUUAAAAGUUUUAACAAAAUAACUAAAAUUUUCACUUUUUUUAGUGAGAAAAAAUUUCAAAUUCGAAUUUUCCCACUUAUACUCAUUUCUUCAAUACCACUCAACUUAUCCCCAUUAUCUAAAAGUUUUCACUUAAUUAUAUGCAUAUGAAAAGAAACUGAAAGUACAAUGGGCAAUUGAGGAAACAAAAAGAAUUUUACCCCGUCAUUGCCUCGGUGGCAAUAUCUUUUUUGACUUGGGCUGAGUCGAAAUAUGCAGUGGAAUGGGGCUGUUCGGAUCCUUAAAGCUGAUUUACUCUAUUUCUUCCAUCUUUUUUAUUAUUUCUUCUACUUCUUUUGUUUGAAUUGUUAUUUUUUUUAGGGUACAAAGUGCAGCUUUUUUUGUUUCCGAAAUGGAAUAAACAUACACACAAUUAAAUUAGGGUACAAAGUGCAGAUAAUGUAAUAAUUUGUGAGAGCAUUUAACAUUUAACUGUAAUUUUUAUAACUACGAGGGACCGGUUUCCAAUUUUUUUAAAAAUUUUUCCAUACAAGAACGCUGGGGUUUCUACCUUCCAUCACCAAGUCAAAGUAUUGACCAGUGAGCGGCGCCGGCGGAACUCGCCGCCUCAACUUUAAUGCCUGCCUAAAGGCUAAAGGCAAAGCGUAUGGACCAGUUGGCUGAGGUAACCGGUAACCACAGUUUUUUUAUUUUUAUUUUUCCCCUUUUCCAUCUAUUUGACAAAACCAACGACCACUGUUGAUUUGAUUUCUUGAUUACAGCGACCUUCUUCGUCAAGUCUAUAAUCUUCUUUUAUGCAAAAUGAAAAGUAGUCGACGGUAAUUUGAAGUUUGUUUGACCAAUCGAUGUGAGUGCAUUUUUCCUUUUAUCUUUUAAGGAAUGUAAUGUGUCGGUAUUAUUUGACUUUUUACAACAAAAUAAAAAGGGUGAUAAAAAUAUUUUACACCAAACAAUAAUCUCAUCUCCUUUUAUAUAUGGUAUAAAUGAUAUAGAUAUCAAUCAUUUAUGAUAAACUUUAGGAAUAAUUUCAAAAACUUCUUUUGAGAUUUGUAAAAUGAUAUCCCUUUUUAGAAUUAUAGGUCCAAUAUCAUCAUAUCAUACAAACAGAAAUUGCUUGCAUAUCCUAAGAUGUUAUGUAUUAGAAACUAAAAUCUAAAUGAAUUCUAAUUUCAUUCCCAGAAGAUAAAAAGUUGACGUAACGCAUUACAGUAUGAACAGUCGAUCCUACUAUUACUGGAUUCGGGGGCACGGACGGUUGCAGGUGCAACCAUCCCUGCCAAUUGUAGUCAUUAUCAACUGGUCGUAAUUUUCUUUGUACAUCGUGUAACUUUUUUUCACAGGAUGUAUUUUCACAACAGAUAGUGGUGGGCCCCACACUUGCGCGCGAAAAUCGAGUUACGUGGUGUAAUCUCAGUCGCACAAAAUUUUGAGGGCCAAUCUUGGCCCUUAACCGUGCAGGGACGGUCAUACUGCCCCAAAUCCUACUACUACUAGAUCUGUGCCAUCCUUCAGGGAUUUGCCAGUAAUAGGAUCCUCAGUCACAAUUUAAAAAUCUUAUUGAAUCAUAGCGUACUUAAUAUCAAAUAAUAUCUCAAAUAAUAUUUCACUUACAUCAUAAACACAAUUUUCAACCCAUUUUUUUAUAUUUUUAAUCACUUUUUUAUCUCACAUAUAUCACAUUAUAAAAAUUAUUACAGUAAUUAUUUCAAAUAAUAUUCUAUCCAAAUAAUGCCAAUUAGGCAGGAACCAGAAACACAUUUUUCAAUCUAUCUUUUUAUAUUUUCAAUCACCUUUUUAUCUCACAUACGUCACAUCAUAAAAAAUAUUUUAAAGGUUUGUUGGAUAGUGUAUUAUUUGAAUUAUUAUUUGGAAUAAUUACUGUAGCACUUUUUAUGAUAUGAUGUAUGUGAGAUAAAAAGGUGAUUGGAAAUAUAAAAAGGUAUAUUGAGAAAUGUGUUUGUGAUGCAAGCAAAAUUACAUCAUCAUUAUAUUGAGAAAUGUGUUUGGAUUGGACUUUAUUUCUUCAUUUAUAUUUGCUUACAUCAUCAUUACAAUUUCCAAUACACCUUUUUACCUUCCCAAUUACCUUUUUAUCUCACACACAUCACAUCACAAAAAAUGCUACAGUAAAAAUAUCUCAAAUAACUUACAAUCCAAACAAACUUAAAAUAAUUUUGGUAUCCAAACACUCCUAUUAUUCUAUCCAAAUAAUGCCAAUUAGGCAGGAACCAGAAACAGUUCCAGCGCCAAUUUUGACCGGCCAAACGAAGUUCACAGCAGUGUGUCAGCAGUAAAUACAGGACUCAUUUAUCAACAAAAAAAAAGAACACGUGAAUCUAUCUAUUCUCCAAUUUAACCACGGCCAUCCGCUCUGAGUCUGAUCUGUCACCUUCCCAAUUUGUCACUCACAAAAUUUACUCUCUGUUUUCCCCUGGAUUCAGGGGACCGGCCAACGAAGAAAUAAUUCAUUUCUCCUGAGGGAUGAGAACUAAAAGUCGGAAAAGAUAAGCUAAUUUUUUUUUGGGGGGUUUUAAUCCUCCGCUAUUAAUGCAGAAAUAAUUGAAGUUUUUUAAUUUGGCUUUCGCCACGGCCCGAGAGUCAGAGACAGUCACAGUCAACGGCCAUGGCCUCUCCCUCUCCAACAGUCCGUUUUCUGAGCCUUCUAGACCAACCCGAGCCCGACCCCCAUAACGGCCACCACAAUCCUCUCGAGCUCGACGAGAGCGACGUCGUUUGGUCCUCCUCCUCCGCCUGCUCUACCGACACCGAAUCCCACUCCCCACCUCUCCCUCCUCCAAUUUGCCGACCACCCAUCUCCGCCGUCAUCGCAACCACGUCAACCCACCCAAUUACGGGCUCUCCGCCGCCCUCUCCCAAGACCACCACCCUCCUCUUGUCCGCCGGAAAUCCACCCUCAACCCCUCCCUCUCUGCAGCCUCGGCCGCCAGGAUGGUCCCGCCCGUGGUUCGAUCCGAGAAUUCUAAUCUGAUUUCCGCCGGAAGGUUCCACCAAUCGGCUCCGGUGAACGUCCCUGUGUGGCCGAAGAAGAAGAAAUUGGGUGAGUUUGAUAAUUUAGAGCGGUUGGAGGAGGUAGACAAUGAGAGAGAAAAGGAGGAUGAGGAGGAGAUGGUGCCGCCUCACGUGAUCGUCGCGAGAUCUCACGUGACAUUCUCUGUUUUCGAAGGCGUUGGACGGACUCUCAAGGGAAGAGACUUGCGGAGCGUGCGUAACGCUGUGUUCCAGAAAACAGGUUUUAUUGACUGAACAUUUCAAGUUCCAUUCAAUCGAUUUUUUUUUUUAUUUUAAAUAAGGGAAAAAAAAAAGAAAAAAAAAACAAAAUCGAUCUAUUUCCUCUUCAGUUCUGUAAUUUUGUUAUGCCUUUGUGCUUUGAUUACUUUAUCUAGAUUCGGAAAAUGGAAGCAGCUAGAUUUUGUUUUGUUGAUGAAAUAAGCUGUACAAAAGCUUUGUAGUAACCAAUCUUGAACUUGUACAUACAGGCGGUUUUAGUUGUCGGUCGACAUUAAUGAAUGUUCAUCUUCUUCCCUCCCCUUUUCUUCCCCCAGAAAUUCUCACAUUGGCCGCAUGGAAUUUUCCCUCUUUUUUUUUUUUUUUUAUCUAUUCUGGUAUUUUAACUGCUCUCCUUUCAUAUAGACGUAGGACCAAGGUUCUACGCAAGAGAGAACUCAUUUAUAAUAUGAAUGCCGAUACAAGCAUUCUUUCUUCGUUGUGCUGGUAGAAAGAAUCCAUAGCAACAUGUAACUGCUAGCGUAUAUUAUUAGUGCAACAAAGAUUCAUCCAAAACAGAACUUGAAACAAUUCUUAAAGGAAAGAUUUGAUUGGGUACUUGUGGACGGAGAGGAAAGCAGGUUUUCUCUCUACAUAAUUUCCACAUCUUUCUGCAACAUGCCAAGAUGUUGCCUCAUCUCGUUCAUGACAUAAAAGCUACUAUUAAUUUUAACCGGGGAACUCUGAGACAAAGCCUGAAUUUUUUUUUCACCGAGUCUGUUGCUUCUGUUACCAUUUACUUCCUCACUAUAGUGAGCUUUAAUCCUGUAACAUUUCUCUGUUCAGAAACGUGAUGGAGAGAUCUGCAGUAAUUGCCUUUUUUAAAGAUUCACUCGACAUUUAGUAGCCAACAUAUCAUCAUUAGUUAAGCGAAGCUGCAGUAACUUCUUGAAGUCUAUAAUGCUGCUCCAUACUCCAUGGCGCUGAGUUUGUUCUCAAAUUAGUUCAUGACGGCUGAUAAAGAAUCGGGUAACGGUGAAUUAUAGCUCUUAGUCUGGUGAAAAUUGGUUAGAUCUGGACAAGCAUUCAAGAUGAGCGCAGAUUGUUUGUCCUUUUUUUUUUUUUUUUUCUGGCUUGGUGCCUUCUCUGCAGCACCUGUACCGGUAGUUGGGCCAUGUCAAAGGCCGGUUCUUUAAUGUUAAAACCUUAUUUUUCUUUUUUUUGGGUAGACUUCACAUAAGUCUGCUGCAAGGAGCAAAGGCUUCACAUAAGUCUGUAGGUUAGCUGAAUUAGACGGAUAUGGAAAAGGUGGUCUAAUCAUAAGAACACCAGAAAGGCAGAACAUAGGUGAGGGUAUUGGGUAUGGGAUGAAUGCUGAAGGGGCGGUCUUGGGCUUCUGGCAUUGAAAGUGAUGUAGCUAGGACGAAUAGCGCUGCUGAUCCUUAGUAGAUGUGGUCCGAAAGUCAGUACCAUCCAUCUCUCCCAACUCAAAUUGAGAGGGCCAGAGUUUUUAGAUAAGAAUCUGGUGCUUUCCGGGAAGUAGAUGAUAAUCGUUUGCACCAAAAGUGCAAGAAGCCAACAAGUGAUAUCGGUUUGCAUGUUUUACUAGAUCACUGCAACAGUGCAUGUUCUGCGUAGGAUUUUUUUCUGGUUUGUGGUUGAAAUGGUUUGUUCGAAGGGAUGGAAGGAGAAUGGGAAGAAAGUGGAGAGGGAAUCUGCUUCGAUCAACCAAAAUGGAGUCAUGAUGGGCUCAAAGAAGUGGACGUCAGUCUCUAGAAGUACUUUACACUGGGAACGUGGAGAUUGACCAUCGCUUUCUCUUUGAGAUCCCUGGAGUGACAAGUGAUGACCGUUGAAUACACCGCUGAGCCACGUUGGGUAUCGCUUUAUUGGCUAUUCUAACGAUUGCAAAAUUUUCGCUUUCGUCCACCUUCAAAAGGUCUGGUGCUCAGGCAACAAUUACAUUUAAGUCAGACCUGGUGAUCAAUGGCCCCCUACUUUUCAAUAGAUUGGGAAGAAUCUACGAGUAUGGACCAUGCUAAAAAGUCAGCUAAGGUCUGCUGUUGUCCAUCUCUGACAAAAGUUGAUCAUGUUGUGGGGCUCUCCUCUAAAGUAGUUGUGAGACUCGCCUCGGUGCGCUUAUUAUUUUUUAGUUCACAGUGAUCAUGGGUCUCUCUCUCCCCCCUCUUUCCUACAAAUUUAUGAGGCAUUGGAAGCUUACAAACUCCAUGAUUAAUUGUUUUGCUCCUAUUACUUCUACUUUUGACGCAUUCUGGUCUGAUAUUGAUAAUCCAAACCAAUGCCCGGCAAUUGAAAACCUUUUGAUGUACAAUGGGUGUAUUAGCAAAAAUUAUUUUUGCCCAUUUAACUACUGGAUCGACCUUACAAUUCUUCCGCAACAGCUGCACUACACUACUACGGAAAUCCUUGUGUCGUCAUUUCUCUACUGCACUGUCAGUUAUUGUGCUCCUUGUCCUCAUUUCUCUGCUGCUCUAUAUGGAUCUAAAAACUGAAUACCCAUUCCUGUUAUUUGACCCGAGUAAUCAUCUAAUACCCUAUUCAGGACCUUGGUGUGUAGGCAAGAAGCUCAUGCAGAUUGGCGGGUUAACCUUGAAUAAAGCUAGAAUCGAUGAGGGGAGAAUCCACAAUCCAUCUCCACAUAUCAUACCGGAAGCAACGGCAGGAACCAUCAAAGUGGCCUUCCUGCUAUUGAGCUUGUGCCAUACAUAGACGACCAAACUGCCCACGCACAUAUCGAUUGCAAAAUAAGCACCUACAAGGAAUGGCACCGCCAUGGCCAUCGGAAGCGGCACCCAUUUCCCAAUCUUUUGGGGGUUAUGUCUCUAAAAAGGUUGGCCACAAAAGCAAAAGCAAAAAACCCAUAACACAGCUGCAAGCAAUGCUGUGGCAGUGCAGAGAAGCCUUCAACACCCAGAAUUGCCAUGUUUCUGUAUAUCAGUGCGUAGGGAGCCUUAUAUUCGCCGUCAGGAUUUCCAACAUCAAAGGCCUUGUAGAAAAGCAAGAAAGUUAUUGGGGCUACUAUGCAGCCAAUGGCGGUCCCAAUGCCUUGGCCAAGCAGCAUUGACCGAGGGGAUGUAAGGGUGAGAUGACCGGUCUUGAAGUCAUGCAUCAAGUCAGAGGAUAUGGAAACUAUAGAUUUUAUGAGCCCACAACCAAUAAGCCCGCAACUACACCAUUAUCUUUUCCAGCCAAGGCGGCAAGCACAAAGAGGGCUACCUUCCCAUAAUUGUAUGCCAUGUUCAUGUCGGUCAGACCAGCACCAUAAGCAUUGCAGAAACUUAGUGAUGGAGCAAGCAAGUAGGCAACGAGAACAAAGUACCACUUCAGCUGUGGAAACAUUUUUGGAAUCACAGCGAUGGAUAUAAUGGAGAACAAGAAAUAUCCAACACAUGCUACCCAUAAAGGAAUGCUCUCUCUCAUGAAGACUUCGUUUCGUUGAAGAUCGUCAAGUGGCUGAGUUCUACUGUCUGAGGUUUCUGUGACCAAAUAGACAUAAUUUAGCAAGAUCCGUAGAAAAAUGUUACUGCUGAAAGUGCAUUUUUGGUUGAAAUACUCUUGGUCUAAAGAGAGGGGCAGCAUUAUGCAAUUUGGAGGCCAUGUGCAAGUUGCUUGCUUACUGAUAUACGAGUCUUCUUCAAUGCAGCACGUAGACUUAGUCCGGUGAAGAAGAGCGACUUAAGAAAUUGUACAAUCCGUCCCCAAGAAUAAGGGCAAUAGAAAUAAAGACCUGCAGCCAUGCAAAAGAGUAAAAUGACAAAAAAUGUUGGUGUAGUUUGUAAAUUAAAACAAUAGUGAGAUUUGCUAUGAAUUUGAAGCUGAACAAUAACAAUCAAGCCGGAUUCAUCAAACGGAUUGAGUCUAAAAUGUCCAAGAUUUUUGUACUAAGGAUCCGUCCGCGGAUCCUGGUGAUGUUGAGAAACUUUGACAUGAAAUAAAAAAAAGUUUUGAGACUGAAGGCAAAAGGCAUUCAGAAGGAGCUUCUUCCCUUGAUAUAAAAAAAAAAAAAAAAAGGGUUAAAAACGGUUAUUUACCAACCUUGUAACCAUUUAGACUCUUCAUACUGCUUUCUGAUAACGUUCUGGGGAACCAAUCCCCCUUGCGGUCGUGUAUUAGUGGCCACAUUAUGCCCCAAGAGAGAACCGCUCCAAAGAGCAAAGACAAAUUGACAAGAUGAGAACAAAUCAUUCCAGCUCCUAUGUAUGUCAUACUGAAAUCAAAAUAGAAUCUGCAAAAUUCAAUUAAUUACAUCAAUUGCAGUUGAAAAAAAAUUUCCAAUUACAAGACUUGAGAACUUGUAAAGAAAAAGCAAAUAACUAAAAGGGUAGGAGUAUAGACGUUUGUCUCCAAGCUUUCAGCCCAAAUGUGGAAGUUGACGAAUCCGCAUUGGCUUCCACCAGAGUAGAACCACUGAAACAUUCCCCACAGGAAACUGAUUGAGAAGAAUUUCAUGAACCCCUGUACCUGUUUCCUGAAGGGGUAAAAAGGAGAUCAAGUUUUAAGAUAUAUCCUGUCCACUUAAUGUUUUCUUCCUUUUUAUCUGCACCAUACCAUGUUAAAUAUAUAUAUAUAUAUAUAUAUAUAUAUAUAUAUAUAUAUAUCACAGUAAAAUUUCUAUAAUCAUUCUUUGCUCACUUGGCAUUUUUGUCCCCCUUGGGAGUAUGGAAACCGUUGAUGAGUACUGCAGUUGCAGUUCCACUAGGAUAAGUCAACUUGUAAUCAAUUAUCAUGAUCUGUGAAUAAAGCAAAGCAGGAAGAGCAUUGCUUGUGAAGCCUACUAGAGACGCAGAUUGUCAAAAUAUACAUUUGUGAACUGCGUCCAAAACAGGGAUGAGCUGUUCUACUGCCAGAAAGAAACAACGUCUAGCUGUUUUAAUUGGCAGGAACGGCGUACCUUUCUAAGAGGAACCAAAGCCAAAAGGCCAACAAAGCUGACAACAAAAAGGAAACGAUCAUCCACUCAACGCCAGGUUCCUUGUAGCUCCCUGGCACAUUUCCCUCGCUAUCAACUCCAGCUUGUUCGUACGUCCUCUUGUUUAAUCCGAGGAGAUAAGACCCAAAACCACCUAAACACCACAAUCAAUAAGGUCUUAUUAACUACGUAAUAGGAUUAUAGCACCAAAAGCUUGAUCGAGCAAGCAGCGGCAAUUCUGUCAAGAAAUUUGCACGGCCACAACAGAAAAGCUGUUUUAGUACCUGCAACGGCUAUGCUAUAGCAUGCAACAGCACAAGUCUGAAUAAUGGUAUUCUCUUGCCUGGUGAACGGAGCUGAGGCGAAACUUGCCCUCUGAAGCAGCUUGGUCCACGUCUGGAUGAAGACAAAGGCGCAAGAAGUGCAGCUGAGACGUUGAGAUUAGGCAACAAGCCAGUGGUGAGAUUGAGCUUCAUCACGAUCACGCUGUAUACGAUCCCAAUCACGAUGCUCGCGAUUACUCCUCGAAGGCUGAUUUGCUUGGUCCACGGAGGAAUUCUUUUUACAUCCUCCUCCAAACCCCCUCCUCUUCCAUCUUCCCCAUCAACUACACCUGUAAUCUCCUUCGAAUCUUCAAUGCCUUGCGUUUCCCCCUCGAGCCAUUCUUGCACUCAUCCUGCCAAUUCCGAUCCAUGACCAAAUUAAUGAACAGUCAUCAGUACGAGAUUCCCAAUAACUAAAAGUCUUGAAUUACCUUGCGUAAGCACAUAAUUAGACAUGAGGCGGAAGCGCAUCCGAUGAACGUGGAAAAAACAACGAAAAGCAAAAAAAAUCCUUAAUGACAAAUUAUAAACAAGGAGCGUAAGCAAGAGUAUUAAUUGAUUACCUGAAAAGAGGGUCAAAAAAUAUUCUUUGUCCAGCUGGUCAGAGAAUUAGACCGCGCAACCAGAAUGCUGUUAUCAUCAAUUAACCGUCCAAGAGCUAAACCACAACGCAGGAAAACAAAAAAACAUAUGACAGCUGCUAAUCCACAAUUACCUAUAAAACUUAAACCAAGAAAUCCAAAGCGGAAAAGAAAAAUUCCCAGAUGGAUUCGGCUCUUUUAGUGCAAUGAGAAUCCAAUCCAAUACGUAAUCAUUAGCUUGAUGAAUGCUACUUAGUAGCUCUUUCGAAAAGAGGAGGAGCACUCAGGGAAGUGAACCAGCUGUAAUGUAAUAACUAGAAUUUAAAGAAGUGAAUCCAGAGAUGCCAGGGAGGGAAGCAAAUAAAGCUCACCAACCGACUGGGCAAGACCUUGUACUACAUCUAGCGCUCUUGUAGUACAAGAAAUGAAAAAGAAAAACCAUAAAGACAUUGGUAGUACACAUGGCGACUACAAUUCCAAAUACUACUGGGGAGUACUACAUCAGUAUGAUUGCCAUUAUAAUGGGAUGGGACUUGUAAGACCAAAUGGUAGGCUAGAAAUGAGCUGCCUUCCCGUUGACUAAAAGUUCCCCGAGUCCAAUAUCUCGGUCGACACACGUAAAAUGGGGAUGAAAAGAUUUUGAUUUUGAUGAUGGAUUCGGAUUUAGGAUGGAAGCAAUUACUAGUCCUGGACAACAGGAGCGUUAGUUCCUUUGAGAAUUUCUUUUUUUUUUUUUUUCUUUGGUUUGGUGCUGUAGUAAAGACUAAAUACUCCGCACUCCGCAAGUUAAAAACGAAAGGGAAAGCGUAAUAUAAGCACAAGGGAGGGAGGAAAGAGUGCUGCCUUUCUUUCACUUUCAGGCUCGUGGUGCAUACACAUGGCGUUGGGGGUGCGGCGACCGAAACAACUUUUUGGUGUCAGGGGAAAUUGAAUUGAUGGUUUAUAAUGAACUUGUGAUGUUGCCAACGAAACCAAAUAACUCUUUAAUCCAAUGCCGCUGCAUCAUGAAAAGUUGGAUCGUUAUUUUUAGAAAUUUCCAUCAAAAAAAAUUUCGGCAAAGAUUUGACUUAUAUAAGUGCAGCGAUUUGAUACAUAUGAAAUAAAAAUAUAUUUAUAAAAAAUAAAAAAUUUUUCUGUAAAAAAUCAUAAUCCAAAUAUGGCCGCAUGAGUUUUCUUCCACGUGUUGCUGAAUUACAAGGGAAUUUUUUCCUUUUUGAAAAAAAAAAAGAAUAAAAGAAAUCACUAAGUUGGAAUAAUUUGGGCGGGCGAGUAGGGAUGACAAUAAUAGAUGGCUAUGAGGUGGAGCCGUCGUCUAGAAGCUCCCCAUUCUCUGUUAUUUCCACCAUUGCCCUACUCUGCAGGUGCACUCUGUCCUGCUCUGCCACUAUUUUUAGUUUUUUUUUUUUUGUAUGUAUACAAUAUUAACAAUGAAUUUACUAAUUAAUAUUUUUAAAAAAUUCAACGUAAAUUAAAAUUUAAAAAUUAUUUUUAUCUUAUGAAAUAUUUGAUUUUGCAUAAAAUCUAAAUCAACUAAGGUUGUUUUUUUUUAAAUCAACAAAAUUAUUGUUUAACUACAAUAAAUUAACAAGAAAGAUUAUAUUUAUAUAUAUGCCCAUGUAUAUAUUAUAUAUAUAUAUAUAUAUAUGUCCGUGCACGUGCAGGUGCAUUUUAGUGAUUAAAAUUAAGACCCACAAUGUAAGGAUUCUUAAUUUUAAUUUCCCUGCCCAUUCCCCACUACUUGAUCCCCGCCGCUGGCUCCAUUUAAUGCUAGAGGAGAAAAAUUCCACCCUCCCCAACCCUCCGGAGGAGAGGCUGUUGAUCGUCCACGGUGGGGUGCUCGACUGCUUGCGGGCCCCUUACAUGGCAAUCGCUUAAUUUGACUGCUCAUUGCCUUAAGAAAAUUUUUUUUGAUUAAGUGCUUAAAAUAUUUGUAAAUUAACUUUAUCUUCUUAUUUACUUUUUCGAAACUUUGUGCACGUCAAAUCACAAAAUAUAUUAGAGCGCCGUCCUGAGUCAUUGGCAGAUUGGUUUAUGCCAAAUAUGGGAAUGGGGAAAAUCAUCUCAUUUUUUAAUUUUCUUUCCCAUUCUGAUUUAUUGGCAAGUAGACACAGCUUUUCGUUCGUUCGCGUCGCAUUCCACGUGACAAUUACGUUCUAAGCAUCUUCUUAGAAUACGGUUGCUUGUGUCAGCCUCGGGUCCUCUCAUACGCAAACAAUAAAUUAUGAAAGUCCACAAAUGAAUUUCUUAAUCCUCACACAACUCGCGACAAAAGCUCUCGCUGAAUAAUUUCCCUUUUAUGCUUUUUUUUUUUAAAAAAAAAUCUUUCUUUCGUCGUUGUUCGUAAUUACUUCAGAGCCUACGACAUGACGGUCCAUUUUACUGCGUGAAUUCGACGCCCAAGUUGGGAUAUUGUACGGUCCGCUUUCAUCAUUCCUUUUUGUUUUUUGGGAUAAUUUCAGAAACGUCGCCUGACGUUGUUGUUUGGCGCUAUUUGACUGGUCUCCGUUCAGAUUUUUUAAAACUAGUAUAAAUACCCGUGCUACUAGAUUACAUUUUUGAAAAAAAUUACAAUCUAUAGAAGAAUUUAAAAAUAGUAAAAUGUUAUAAUCACGGGCACAUGAAAGUAUAUUUAAAAAAAUGAAACCUUGUAACAAUAAUUCAAUAUAUAAUAAAAACAUCUCUAUUAUUUAUAAACUAUCACUUUGAUGAAGGUUGGAUCCUGAAAAAAAUAGAAAUCCAUAUCAUAAAUUGAGCGACAUAAGGGUCCAAUUAAAUAUAAUUAAAUAUUUAAUUUGGUAAAUAAAUGAAAUACUUACAAACAUUUUGCCUUCAAUUUGAUAAUCUUCUACGAAGGCGUGAAUAUUUUUCACACCAAUCAACUCUGAGUACGAACGCCAGUAUUGGGGAUUUAAUUAAUUCUGUUGAUUUUUGUGGAGUUCGUACUAUAAAUGAGAAUGCACGAUUUUUGCAUGACUUAAUGUGUUGGACGAACAAUGCACCUCCAUUUUCCUGACAAUUAAAAGCAUACAUAAUUCAAAAUUAUCUUUUGUUUUAGAUAGUUUGUAAAUAAUAUUGUAUAAAAAUAUAUACAUAUAAAUAAUGUAUACCUUUGUUUUUAAAUCUCUAAGAUAAAAAGCAUCACAACAAAACAUGAAUCGUGCAUGUCUGUCUUGAAGAGCCAGGUAUAGGUUACCACUGAAAUCUUUAACUUCUAUGUUAACAUUGUAUCUGUUAAAAAGAAAUUGUGAUGUAUGAUGUAAAAAAUUAUAUUAAAAUUCAAAAUAUAUGAAAAUAAUUACCUGACAAUAGUGUCGACUACGUCAUUACAAUGGAUAUACACCAUUUUUGCAAAAUGAGAUUAACAUGGUUGUCCAAAAUUUUUGCAUAACUCAUGGAACAUAUUGUCUAUGUUGAUGCUUUGAAUAUAAGCAAGUAUCCGAAAAUAUUUAAUCUAAAACAAUCCAAAGAAUGUUUAGAUUACAAUUAUUAAUUCGAAACUACAUAUAGAUACUUGUUCAUUACUUAAUUAAUUGAGAGGAAUUGUACCGUAGGUAUAACUGCAUAUUUAAAUAUCAAUAUGUUUUUAGCAUUUGAUAUCAAUAAUGCUUGGGACAUUAUAAAACUGCAUGACCGCAACCACGUCACUAAUUUCUGAGCACAUUUAUCAUUCUCAAACCUGCAAAUUUUUCAAAUAUAUAUUCGCAAGAGUAUGAAAUAUUAUUAAUAAUUUAAUAUUUUGGUAUUUGUAAAACUUACCAACUGUGUAGGUAUUGAGCAAAAUCCAAGUAGUAAUUGAGAUACAAUUUGCUUGCUUGAAUAGUAUAAAGUGACGAUCCUGCACAAUGUGCUAUAUUUAUUGAUAAACUAUAAAAAUUAAAUAAAAUAAAUUGAAAAUAAAUUGAAUUACCUUUAUGGGAAUUAGUAGUGGCAUGGCGACCAUCUGACACGCGUGGGCUAAUAAGGAUACCAACAGCAAGUGGAAAGAGAUCUUACUCAAUCUUCUCAUGGAAUUGGAUUGGAAGAGGUUUAAUUGUAGUGGGAAGAUGUGUGAGGAGAGUUAAUUGGAAUUAACUUCUUGUUUGAGGGAACGUGAGAAUGUUUAGUUGGAGUUAACUUCUUGUUUGAGAAAAAACGUGGGGGUAUAAUGUGCUCAUGAUGUUUUUUACGAAAUAAAUUAAAUGUAAAAUGCUAUAAAAAUAGAGUUGAGAGUGGGAAGGAUUGUGAAGGAUUGUUUCUAAAAAUACCUUCUUAAAUUUAUAUAGAUAUAGAUUACACUACUAACUUUCAUUAAUAUUUUUUAUUUUAUAACAUGUAAAUCUAACCAAUAAAUAAAAAGUGAUAUUAUAAGAGAUAAGAUAAUAUGAUUCAAUCAUUUCCACUCAACUACUGAAUUAUUUAAUUAAAUUAAUACCUAUCCAAACAUUUAUUAGAAAUUAAAUAACAUAUUUCAUAAAAAAUAGUACAUCAUUCUGUAUAUUUCAUUUAACAUAAGAUUCAAAUUGCUAUUUUCAAUUACUAAUUCAUUGUCAAAUGUGUUCAACAACAAAUAAUCAAAAAGUUUUGUAACCAAAAUAUUACAAAGAGUAAACUUUAAUACCAUAAAAGUUUUGACAACUAAUCUUAAUUUAUUGACAAGAAUAUUUAUGAUGUUAAAAUUUGUUCUUUAUAAUAUUUUGGUUGCAAUUUUUUAAUUAUUUGUUAUUAAUCAUAUUUGACAAUGGGCAUGCAACUGAAUAAAGUAGAUUGGAUCUUGUAUUAAAUGAAAUAUAAAAAAUGCUAUAUUAUUUUUUAGGGAUAAUAUCAAAAACCUUCCCGAGGUUUCUCUUAAUGUCACCUGACAGUCUGACACCCCUAAGAUUUUAAAAAUAUCACUUACCUCCCUUACCUUUGUUAUUUAUGUAACAAAAUUUUUAAAAACCCUAAACUACCAUUGCACUUGCUAAAUAAAAAUGUUCCUAAACCACUUUGUUCACUUUAAGAAAAUCAUCACCUCAAAAGUAAUCUCUUGUAGUAUUGCUACAUCACAAUUAUAUACCCCAUAAAAAUAUAAAUUUGAAAAAAAAAUGAUAUUUGAAAAGAAAUACACUUGCAUUAAUUUAAUUCUAUAUGCUCAAAACCGAUUUCCUAUAAAUUUACAUUUUUUUCCAACAUCUUCUCAACCCUUUACUCAAACCAUUAAACUAUACCAAUCAUUAUAAAAAUCAACCCAAAAUAAGCAAAUAAAUCAUACCCCACUUUAUCGCAAUCACAAAAUGUAAAAGAUAGACAAAAUUUAAUUUAUCAUAAUUUACAAUAAAAUAUUGCAUAGUCAUCCAAAAAUAUAUGAGUAAGAGAGAAUGAUGGAGAAAAGGGAAAAAGAAGAAUGUGACUUCGGGUUUUUUUUUUUUUUGAGUUUCAUUUAUUUGAUAUGUUGUGAAUUAUGUAUCAAGUAAGGGUUAAUAUAAUCGUUUUGCAAUUAUAAGGGGAGGUAGGUGAUAUUUCUAAAAUCUCUAGGGUGCCAAGUGAUAUUAAGAGAAAGCUCAAGAAAGGUUUCUGAUAUUACCCCUAUUUUUUUAAUAUAAUAUACAUGGACAUGCAAUUGAAUCAUACUAUUUUUUCUCUCCUAACAUUACUUUUUUAAUUACUGGUUGAGGGCGAUUGAUGUAAUUUUUAAAAUAUGAAUAGAAGUUAGUGAAAUAGUUAGAAACCUCACUGAAGGUUUUCUGAAAUUAUCCUUGUUUUUUCCCCUAUUUUGAGGGGACUACUGGUCUCGUUUUAUUAUUUCUUUCUGGGGUAUGUGUAUAUAUAUAUAUAUAUAUAUAUAUAUAUACAUGGGUGUUUAUUGUAGCGAUAGUCAUGUUGUAUGAGUGGAAAGUUUAGUACAUAAGAUAUGAAUAGAUAAUAGUGAAUAUUAAAGGAUACAUUUGAUCAAAUAAAUAAUGACACUUAUUAUUAUUUUUUGGUUACACCAAAUCGUGCUCAGGUUUUAUGUGUAGAAAAAAAGGAUGUAAGGGUCACUCCAGGGAGGAUGGGAAAAUGCUUGCUCCAGAGUCAAAAUCGGAACGGUGUCCAACUAUGGUUUGGUUAACCUAGUGACAAACCCAACAAUUAUUCAGCUUCCGCUCUUUUGUAGUCUCUUAACAAUUUUAUGUGGUGAUUUUAUAGUUUGCUUUUUAUACAUAAGUUUGGUAGUCACACACCGUAUACAGUGCCACUCUUAAAUGCACCUCACAUCACAUGUGCAAAAAAAAAGGAAAUAAAUGAGGCCCAUUAGCCUCUGAAUCCAAGAAGAAAAUAAGCAAACCAUCUAAUGGAUCCAGCUCAAAUAGAACUCCACACUCAGCCUCAUAUGCUCCUGAUCCAGUGCACUCUAUUGAAAGCCGGAGCUGCUAUAGGAAAGCAAUGGGCAUUGAUGUAAGUUCACAUUUGUCUCUGCCCACUUCAUCUGGACGGUCCAGGUCCAACUUCUUUUUUCUCUCAAUAACUGCCAGGGAGACUUGAUUUGUAAUUUUGAAAGUUGGGAGGAGGGCGUUCUCGAUAACCGAGACCCAUCGCGAAAAUUCCUCUUCGCUGCUCCUUCCUUCUUCGUCUUCAAGAAAAAUUACUACACACGAAGUGGGAAAACAAAAGAGAUAAAGAAAAUCGUUUACCGAUUGGUGCAGCUGAGCGAGUGAGGGGGCGCUUUUCUGCGUCUUUUUCUACUGUGCAUCCUCUGCCCUGAUCGAAUUAGUUUAUAAUAUUUACUAGUUAGUUGUAUAACACAGAAGAAGAAGCAAAAAAAAAAAAAAAAGAAAGGAGAGAAAGAUGAAGAGCAAUUCGACAGAGAUGAAAUUCGUGCAAGACCUGAUACUGUACGCUGCCAGCGCCGCUCUGAGUUGCUUGGUCUUAUUCACGGGCUCCGACUUCUCGACCCGAACCGGGAGGCCUCCAAGAAAGCCCUCGAACACAAGAAGGAAAUCUCCAAGCGCUUGGGCCGCCCUCUUAUUCAAACAAAUCCCUACGAGGUCCUUUUUUUUUUUUUUACCCCCUUUUCUUUCCCUCCUUUUGCAUAAACCGCAUAUUAUAUGAAUAUUGUUUAUUUUGAGCACCAUAUAUAAAUAUAUAUAUAAAACGGAGAGAGGGUCAAUUGAGAGAUAAGUAUAAGAAGAAUUUAAAAUUUUAAUGUUAGGGAAAUUGAAUCGAUAUUGAGUUGGAGUAAUUUAUUUUGAGUAGCCGACAAGAAAUGAGCUUUUUGAUCGUUGGAAUACCCUGGGUUGGAUUUCUUAGGCAAUGAUAUUCCUUCCGUCUGGUGUAGAGAUUGAUAUAUUUUGAGAGCCCUUCAGCUGAGAAAAAGGGCCUUCAGUACGAGAGUGAUUUUAUUUUUUAUUAUUAUCAUUUUUGGUAAGAUCAUUAUGAGAGUGAUUAUUCGUCUGCAAAAAGUAGAAUGAAAACAAGGCAAAAGAUUAACCUCCUAGGCUCAGAGCCUCUUCUCCCUCCUUCUGUGGUUUUCGAUCGUGCAGUUUUGAAAAGUCCAGCCAAAAAGCAUUACCUAUUUUCCUGAUUCUUCUACGUUAAUAUUGUUCCGGCCUUCCCAAGGAAGAAGGUUUAGGUAAAAGAUUUAACCAGUUGGUUGCGUUAGUUAGAAAUUCUUUUUGCUGGGACGGUUUCACGAGUUAGAAAUUCUAUCCAUUCUAUAGUACCUUAAUCCUUUGGCCAUCAGGGUUUAACAUGAAUUACGAAAGGUUACAUAAACUUGAUGUGGCCAUUUUUUAUUUAGGUCAAGAAUCCAACAACUCGCUUCUUUUUGAACCUCCUUCCAACUCCAAGACUUGUAAAUUAGGAACUUCCACGCCAUGGAGUUGAAAGGAAAUGAUAGCCACUUUUUUUCCACUUUUGCUUUUGUGCGAGGAUAACUGUGAUAGACUCUGAAUUAGAGGCUUUGUAGCUCAGCUGGCUGCUGUGGUUCACUAACAGUAUAUUACCAGCAUUAAGCUUGUACGUUUUGAGCAUUCACUAUAUAGCUGCUCUGCAGUUUGUAAGAACCUUAGCUUUUUGAACGGGAUAGGUUUUCUCCUGAUAAAAAGUUGUUUCCUUUCUUACUCGUCGACCCAUUGAUGUGCUUUUGGAAUGUGACAUUUUGUUCAUUGUCAUGCCCUCAGUAUCAAAUGCAGUCACUAUGUUUAUCUCUUGACUCAUGGUAUGUUUUCAAUGGCAAUGUAGGAUGUGAUAGCUUGUGAUGUCAUCAACCCCAAUCAUAUUGAUGUGGAAUUUGACUCUAUUGGUGGAUUGGAAGCCAUCAAGGAAGCCUUGUUUGAAUUGGUCAUUCUUCCGCUUACGGAGGCCUGAACUGUUGCUCGUGGGAAGCUCCUUGGACCACAAAAAGGUGUCUUGCUGUAUGGACCUCCUGGUACUGGAAGACGAUGCUUGCCAAAGCAAUUGCAAAAGAGUCUGGUGCUGUUUUUAUCAAUGUGAGAAUAUCAAAUCUGAUGAGCAAAUGGUUUGGUGAUGCUCAAAAACUUGGUGCGUCUUUAUCGGCGUCCCACUAAGGGAUUUUCUUUCUUCUUCUCCCUACAUCCUUUCAGUCUGCUAAAAUGUUUGUAAAUGGGCAUCUAUGUCAUGUGCGACUUUCAUUUUACAGCAUGGACUUUGCUACUUAGUGCUCUUCUCGUUAAUUUUUGAGUGACUUUUACUGGUCUUACUCGUCACAGUGUGGUUGAUUCUAUAUGUUGCUUUAUUGAACUUCAAUUCUAUUUCCUUUUGCAGUGGCCGCUGUGUUUAGCUUAGCGUAUAAGCUUCAGCCAGCAAUUAUAUUCAUUGAUGAGGUGGAUAGUUUUUGGGUCAGCGCAAGACUACUGACCAUGAAGCACUAACAAACAUGAAGACUGAAUUUAUGGCUUUAUGGGAUGGUUUUACCACAGAUCGUAAGUUUGAGAUUUCAACUUGAGGUCCAUCUUAAAGUUUCCCAGGAACUCUGUAUGGCUUGUGAAAAAGACUUACCACAGUUGAUUAAUAGACUGAUUGAAUUUCAAAAGAAAUUGUUUCUUUUCAUGGCUGAUAUUUUGUUGAACUCAUGGCAUGUUGGUAUUAAUGGAUACCCCUGAGAAUAUUUCAUUCUUCUGCAUGUAGAUGAAUGAAUUAAAUUUGGAUUGGGAGAAUUAAUUGCAUCCGUAGAUAAAGCAACCACUGUCUUGUUGUGAGUUUGAAUUGUUUACUAAUUGAACCAGAUCUUAUAUGUUUUAUCUUGUACCAAUAGCUUUGUUCAUGUUUAUUAUUGAUGUUCUCAGUUUCUGUUUGCAUCAGUCUUCUGCCUGUAAUUGCAUGCGGCUUAUUUUGUAGAUAAUGCUCGUGUAAUGGUACUUGCUGCUACAAACCGUCCAUCUGAGCUGGAUGAAGCAAUUCUUCGGCGCCUUCCUCAGGCCUUUGAGAUUGGCAUGCCUGAUCGCCGAGAGAGAGCUGAAAUACUGAAGGUGAUUCUGAAGGGUGAGAAGGUUGAAGAUAACAUUGACUUUGAUCGCAUAGCUGGUCUAUGUGAUGGAUACACUGGCUCAGAUCUUCUUGAGCUCUGUAAGAAAGCUGCCUAUUUUCCUAUCAGGGAUCUACUUGAUGCAGAGAAGGGGGGAAGUUCUUCUCUGGUUUGUGAUUUUAUCCUUUACUUGCUCAAGUAUCUGGUUUGCACCUACAUUUUCCUUUUGACUGCAGUCUGUGUGGUGAUGACAAGAAAUCACUCUGAUUUCAUAAUAAUAAAUAUGAAUGCAUGGGCUCGUGUACUAUUCCGAACUUGCAUCAACUAUUACUCUACCACUAGCUUCAUUAAGCUUGUUCAGAUGCUCUAAGGCUCUGCUCUGAACAUUUGGUCCAUCUUCUGUCUGUCAAUCGAGCAUUUCACCAUUUAUUUAAGAUGCGGUUCACUAAGAAGAAUGAGUUCAUAUUAGACUUGCGUAAAAGUUCAGUUAAUCUCAAUAUGGAUUAGUAAGAACCCUCGUGCUUUUGAUUCUGUAUCUUCCUCUUACCUUUCAACUUCGGUAACUUCGUCUUUGCUGGUUGCUUCCUACGAGUGAUUUUUUUCAUCGGUUUAAAGUUUAGGUUGUAUUUGAAUUAAACAUAGAGGAACCAUAUUUUUGUCAUGCAUCUUUUACAUAAAUUAGUGUAUUUAGAAAAUUAGACUUGGUCUAGAAAAAGUGGUGUAACGUUUCCUUCCAGUAUUUGAUCGUCUGCAGAACGUGUGUGAGUUUAGAGUACUUUUAAAUUUUCUGAUUCGCGUACCUCUUCAGGAGGCUCGACCAUUGUCACAAUCAGAUUUAGAGAGAGUAAUUUCCACAACAACAAAAACGAAGGUUGCUGCAACUGAGUACACCAGAUUUAAUUCUCAAUCAUCCGGAUGGUCAAGGCAUGCUGAUCCAGAUUAUGUACAAGUUGCGAUCAGCGAGCUUUCUAAACUCGUGACUUCUCAGAUUUUGAACAUCCAGCCAGAUGAUGCUGAAGACCCUUAAUCAUUUAUUUGAGCUGAGGCAGCAAAGAUUUUCUGCUUCUGUAUGACACUCCGCCAAAGAUAGUUUUUACAUACUAGUUUUUUUUUUUUUUAAGAAUCAAAUUUGAUAUGUUUGCAGAAGUUUAGUUUAAUGGGUUGAAUCUUAAUGAGCCAUUAACAAAUAUUUGUGUUCCCCUGAUUAAGCGUCUUUUAGCAUGUAUAGAUAUAGAAAUAGAAUAAUUAUUUGGAAGGUUUCAUGGCGAUGGGAUUUGGCCGAAUUUUUUGGCAUUAAUCUGGUCGGUGAUGUUGUUGUUGAGUGAAAGGCAGCUUAGGGAAGAAGGGGGGACGGGCAUAAAUGUCUUUUCAGUAGGGAAUGCUGGCUUUUCAUUUAGUAGUAUAAUUGUACUGAAUCUUGUCACUUGGCGUGGCUAUUUUGAGGAUUAAUCAUUCGUGCGACUAUGAUCCACGAUGGAAUAAAUUUGUCCUCGUUGUUGCUUGUGUAUUUCAUUCCCUCAAGUAAACGUUUCCUUGGAAGAAGAGGAUUAAUGUCAGUUGUGUGAUGAGAUGUGAUUGUCGGUGAUGCAGAUACUUUAGAGCCCCUUGGAAUAAAAUUUUUUUUUUUUGGCCGAUUUUUUAAUUUAUUAUUAUUAUGGGCGUAGCUGCAAAGGAUAACGGCCUCUGCAGGAUGCUGACAGAAAUGAAAAUCAAGCAAUUAUCGAUAGGCGGCAGAUGAAGUUGCCUUGCUCCAUCCUUUUGGAUAAGGUGCAAUUAAGGUAAUGCGUGCAUGUCAAAUAUAGGUAAUCGAUUACAUUAGAUGUCUCUUCUUUUUUUUUUUUUUAAACCCUUCUGCCGCCUUUUUUCUGCACUCUUCCAACUCCAGGGAAUGUUUUUUUUUUUUUUUUAUCUGCACAAAAGUAACAUGCAAAAUGCUUCUUGAAACCAAAAUGAGACGUCAACGCAGCACUUAAAAUGGGUAUUUGAGAGGCACAUAUUAUCCACAUGAACGAACGAGAGAUGACGGACGCCCCCAUUUGAUUUGACUCUCCGAUGGCAUCUGGUGUAGUGACGCACAAUAAACGCUGCAACACAACGCAGCACGACAUGCGGACUAAACCACUCUGACCGUCUGCUUUUUGACGCCUUCGUGUUGAAGGUCAAGUUAUUGAAAAUCCACCGGUGGAUCAUUAAUUAUGUGCAAAUCCUCCGGUUCCUUUUUUUUUUUUUGUUUUGUUUUGUUUUGUGUGGAGUUGGUGGAAAAAUCAUGAAUACGAGAUACGAUUUCUUCUGUAUAUUAAUAGAAGGUGAGAUUUACCACUUGUUCUUGAUAUUCAUGAGAGAGCAGGUUUCGAUCUCACGAGAGUUUUCCAUUAUCCAGGAAAAAUGAUUAUUACAAUUAUUAAUUAAAGAAAACAAAUGACUCACGCGACAGUUUUAAGCGGUCGAAAAUGAAAAGUCUGUCGACGAAGUCCCAACAAGCUCCUGGCUGGGACAGGAAGUAAUUUAGGCGCACUAAACACUAGUACUGGUUGUUUGUCUUUCCAACUCCUACUAACCAACCAACCGACCGAAAGCAAACAAACGCAAAAGAGAGCCCCCCAGUCUUCUUCUUCUUCUUCUUCUUCUUCUUAUAUCUGUCUCUAUCUAUAUAACGACUUUUUCAGGCAGAGAAGCUGCCGUGGCCGCCGGAGUGAUGUCCCACCUAGUCCUUAGCUGCGAAUCAUUUACCGUUGCCUUUUGUCAACUCCAAUACUAGAUUUUUCUCGUUGAUUAAUUAGACCUAAUUCCAGAUGAAACUCCAAAAGCCAGGUAACUCUUGGAACCCACCUCCAGGGACUUAACUAUUCAAUCCAAAUCCUCCCAAGACCGACGUGGGAUAACUGGCCUAAGGGGGAAAUCUACUGCUAAGUGGGAUACUACCACCUAAGGGGGAUUUACCGCUGUCUUGCCAAUCAAUUUUCAUGGGAUUAUAUAUAUAGAGAGAGAGAGAGAGAGAGAGUAAAUUCAAAAUUUACCCAAAUCCACGUUUUACACAUUUAUUGGUAAACUGCAAAUAUAUAUAUAUAUAUUAAUUAAAAUAAAAAAGAAGAAAGUGUAGCAUUUGUGUUAGCAAUCUUGGACUGCCAUUUAGUUAUCUGUUGUAUUUAAAUACACAAGGGCAGCUUCCUUGUAAGAUACACGCUACUAUAAGCCAGACAAAUUGUGAGUCAAAUCUCCCAUCCAUCUCACAUGUAAAUAAAAAGAGAGGGAGGGAAUGAUUCAACGAGUCCAAGGCCAACAGCUAUGAAUGAGGUAUCCGUUCCCAGCCCCCGCGAGAAAGAUCAAAGAGAGAAGCCCCCCCCCAGUUUAAAACAAAUCAAAGCCCCGUUGUUGAAGUUGAAUUGAAUGACCACUGAAGCAGCAUCCGUCGAAUAAUCAAAAGCAUACCAUCCAUGGCCAUGGAUUCUUGACCAUUGAAAAGUCUCACCCCAAUUAUUCUCCUACUCGUUUUUCUUUCUUUUUUUUAUUUUUUUAUUUUUGGUUGAAAAAAAGUAGCGUUCUGCAUCAUUGACCACAAAUAGAAUAAGAUAAAAUUGAAAGAAAAGGCUUAACACCAGAUUAAGCGUUCUCGUUUUAAAAUAUAAUGUCAUAAUAAUACUCCUGCCUUUAUAUAUCACUAUAUUACUACUAUUAUCCAACUAAUAACACUAAUAAGUGAAAGAUGAGAAUUUUGGUUACAUGUUGUCGUUAAAGUGGGUCCAUGAAUUGCUACUUUUAGUAUUUAAGUGGACGGUUCCGUCUAAUGCGGAUGCCCAGAAGACACUUUAGUAACCGCAACGGAUCUUCUGUCCCACAUCCUGUACCAUUCUCUGUCUCACUUUUUAUUAUAUUGCUAUUUCUCCUAUAUAAAUAUCAUGUUUUAGUUCUUUUUUGUUUCUUUAAGAUCCAAUAAUUAUUACUUGAGUAAUAUACAAAAUUUAACAAACUCAAAAAAUCAAAAUGCAUAAAAAAUGAGAUAUUUUAUGAAUUUUCUACUGUAUUUUUUAAUUUUCUAUUAUAUAUUGGUUUUUUGAAGCUAUUGUAUUGGCUUUUUAUUCAGUUAAUAGUUAUUGGAUCUUAAGGAAACAAAAAAAAAAUUAAAAUAUGGUGUUUAUGUAGGAAAAAUAGCAAUAUAAUAAAAAAUGGGACAGAGAAUGGCACAGGAUGUGGGACAGAAGAUCCGUUGCACUUGGCAACAUAUGUUUGAGGUGUUAUAUUUUUAAAAGUAUAAGGUAAAUUAAGAAAUGUAUAUAAAUAUAAAAAAAAGUUAGAUCGGAUUAAAUAAAAAAUAUAUAUAAAUAUAAGAGAGAAUAAUAAUUAUUAAUAUAUAUAUAUAUAUGAAAUAAGUUAUGUGAAUAUUAAAUAUGUUAACGAAUUUGAUAGAAAAAUCAUAAGCUGAUUGUUACAUGCCAGCCACUCAGGAAAUUUUCAUAAUAACAAAUGACCGUACGCAAUCAUAAUUACAAGCAAAUGCGGAAAAAAAAAAAGGCUUUCUAUUUUGUGACAUGGUGCCUGAAAUAAAAAAAAAAGGGUGAGUUUAUUAUUGUGAGGAAAAUUUUAAAAUCAUUAUUGCUCGCUCUAAAAUUAGCUAGCGUCAUAAAACACACUUUUUAUAAUAUUUGGAGCUCGGUGGGCACUACAGAAUACGAAGAAGGGAGGAAAAAGAGCAAAAAAAAAAAAAACAAAGAAAAAGCAGCAAGAGUCCAAGGUAAGAGCUGAUCUCACAAAUUCUCCCUCAGACGCGGACAUAUAUCAUAUAUGCGUUCGUUCAUUUCUUCUCUGUUUCUCACGCAACAUAAUAUAUACAUACUUCUGCUGCUAGUAUAUUCUACGAGUAUUAUGAUUUGACCAAUUAAACGGGGGAAGGGCGCCGGCCAUAGCCGUCUCCUGGAGCUGAAAUUCAAACCAAGCAAACACGCCAUUUAAAGAUGGCCCUAAUUUCUUCCAUCCCCAUAUAUGAAUCUGAUACGUUCUUCUUCCUCUCAUUCCUUCCUCCUCCAAAAUCUCCAACUCCGGAACCCUCUCUCCCUCAUUGUUACUGCUUCCAUACCACUAGCUUCAUAAUUAGCACUGCUAGUAUUCCUUUAUAAUACCAUACUGCUACUGCUAUUAGUGGUUUAUUAUCCUGUUCUCAUCAUCAUCAAAUCAUCCCCAUACUUUCCCUUCUUCUUCCGGAUGCUGAUGCCUUUUCCCUGUCACUCCCGCACCAUCAUUUCUCCAUCGUUUGGCAGAUGAGGAGUUCCCCCUCUUCCUCCGUCGCGCUCUCACCCUUCUUUACUUUCUCCAUUUUGGCUCGUCUUUAAUUUCCCGGCAAUAACAACCCAACCCUUUUUUCCCCCUUCUUCUACUUCGUAAUUAUCGUUAGGCACGAGUCAUCCGCGUAAUCAACCAUGUUUUUUCUAAAUCCAAUUUUAUUCUUGUUGUUGAUAAUCGUAGUCCCCUUUUUAAUCUUUAGGUUCUUGUCCAGAACAUCCAUUCUGCAUAUCGCGAACAAUUGGUGGCGGACUUUGGCUGACAAAUUUUACGUGUACCAGUUGUACAGAGUUCCCCAAUUCAACGACCACAUGCAGGAAAAUCAACUCUACCGAAAAGUUCACACCUACCUCAGUUCCCUCCCGGCCGUCGAGGACUCCGACUUCACCAACCUCUUCUCCGGUGCCAAACCCAACGAGAUCAACCUCGUCCUCGACCCCAACCAGAUCGUCCUCGACAAUUUCCUCGGCGCUCGAUUGUUCUGGAUUAACCAGAAAUGCGACGGGUCUGGGUUGAAAUCGCUGGUUCUCAAGAUCAGGAAGUCCGACAAGCGCAGAAUUCUGCGCCCCUACCUCCAGCAUAUCCAUUCGGUCUUCGAGGAACUCGAACAGCGAAAGGAUGUCAAACUUUACAUCAACGUCGAGGACGAGCCGCAGAGAAACGGACGGUGGAGGUCGGUUCCCUUCACGCAUCCGGCGACGAUUGACUCGGUCGUGAUGGACUCGGACUUGAAGAACAAAGUCAAGUCGGAUUUAGAAUCCUUCCUCAAGUCCAAACAGUAUUAUAACCGAUUAGGCCGGGUUUGGAAGCGGAGUUAUCUCCUCUACGGGCCCUCCGGUACCGGGAAGUCCACAUUCAUCGCUGCGAUGGCCAAGUUCCUCUCCUACGACGUCUACGACGUCGACCUAUCCAAAAUAUCGGCGACUCUGAUUUGAGGUCGCUGCUGCUGCAAACGACGAGCAAGUCGCUAAUCGUGAUGGAAGAUCUGGAGCGCCAUCUGACGGGGAAAUCAACGGCGGUGAGCUUGUCCGGGAUCCUCAACUUCAUGGACGGCAUAGUCUCGUGCUGCGGCGAGGAGCGCGUGAUGGUAUUCACAAUGAACGGCAAGGAUCACGUUGAUCCCGCGAUUCUGAGGCCCGGGAGGAUAGAUAUUCACCUGGAGUUCCCUCUCUGCGAUUUCAACGCCUUCAAAAGUUUGGCCAACAGCCAUUUGGGUGUGAAGGAGCACAAGCUUUUCCCUCAGGUGGAAGAGAUGUUCCAGAGCGGGGCGAGUUUGAGUCCGGCCGAAAUUGGCGAGCUUAUGAUUGCCAACCGGGCCUCUCCCAGCCGGGCCUUGAAAUCCGUAAUAUCCGCUCUGCAGAAUAACGCGGACGCCAAGUUAGGUGCCAGGAUGUCGCGCAACGGGUCGGUCCGGUCAGCGGAGGAAUCCGGCGACUCGGGAAUAUUGUGUAAAGACGCCGGUGUUUCCACCGUCAAGGAGUUUCGGAAAUUAUAUGGAUUCUUGAGGAGGAGCCGAAGGGAAUCCGCAGAUUUGGAUGACAAGGAAAGGGAAAUUGGUCGACAAGAAAGUUGAGUAGUGCCCACCCGUCCGCCAAUCAAACUACACCAAAUCAGAAAACCGUUUAAAGUUUCAGAAGAGUAGUCUGUCUUUCUCUCUCUGUUGAGCUCAAUAGUCCAGUAAAGAUAUUUUUGGUUUUUUCUCUCCCCUUUUCCUAUCUUCCUUCCAUAGUAUAGUUAGCAUUUGGGGGAAAAAAUACUACUGCUGUAGUAUAUAUAAUUAGCACAGCGUUAAUGUUUAGCGGGAAAACUUCCACAGGAUACUACAGUAACCAUUGUUGUAGCAGUAAAGUAGCCAGCAGUAAAGAUAGAGAUCCAUUUUUAAGUUGUUUGCUGGGAUCUUCUUCCCAAGAACAACACAGCAGAAAAUUUUCCUUCCGUCCAUGUCAGGUGUCUAACGAUCUAAUGAUGUAGCAGUCACCCAAACAAGGUGCGGGGACGGUCCUAGUCCUAGUCAGAAAAUAAAUAUUAGCGACAAAAGGAGGUUUUGGUUUCAACGCCUUUAGAAGAAGGAAGGAGAGGGGCUGGCAAUGGCAUAUGGAAAUUUCGAUGCCCUCUGAAAAUGGUCAUUGACUUGGGUGUUCGUUCGUUGGUUGCAUUUUAUGUCUGAUUUUGACUUUUUUUGGCAAACUGGCGCCGAAAUUACCUACCGUUAUCAUAUCAUAUCAAUUAAUCAAUCAAUAAAGGCAUAAAAACGGAAAGGAUGACUUUUUUUUUUUUUUGGUUGGGGGGGCACACCAAGAAGGUAACACGACGCCGACCUUUAUUACAAAAUCAUCAAUUAUUCCAAAGCGAGUGGUGAAUAAUACAUGACGCAGCGUAUAUGUGCUGUCGAAAGAAGAUGGAACCAAAAAAAAAAAUAAAAAUUGGUCUCCUAAUUUCUUUUGACUCGCUUCAUCAUAUGAAGAUGGAUAUUAAAAUUUGUUGAGAGUCCAUUUCAUAUGUGUUUGGAUAGUGUAUUAUUUGAAAUAUUAUUUGAAAUAAUUACUGUAACACUUUUUGUGAUAUGAUAUGAUGUAUGUGAGAUAAAAAGGUGAUUGGGAAUAUAAAAAGGUAGAUUGAGAAAUGUAUUUAUGAUGCAAGCGAAAUAUUAUUAAAAUAAUUUUGGUAUCCAAACACUCUCGCAGCUAGCUACUGCUUCGAUAGGGUUUGGAUAUGAAAUGUUGCUAAAUUUGGUCUAGAAAAUGAAAAUUUAGUAGUAGAAGUAGUAGUAUCAAAGCUAAUCCAAUAUGAUAUGACGACUUGGAAUUCAUUUCGCAGCGCUGAGAAUGAGAAUGGCAUUCAAAUUGGGAAUCAGGCGAUCGUCAUAGCUGAAUGUGAAUGUUCUCCGUGUAUGGACUAAGUAUAGUGUAUAUCCUUCCUUCUUUCUUAUGAUGGAGAGAUAACGAUAACACGCGAUUUACAAUUGGUCUCCAACAACAACUCUCCUUAGUUUACUCUCCAGGUCCAUUUAUUCUUCUCGUAAUCUAGUAGCCAUGCCCCCUUUGGAUAAUUACUCUGCUGUUUUGCAAAAAUCUUCAAAAUUAGUUCUGACUUGACAUAAAAAGAGGUGCUUGAUUUAAUUCUCUGCAAAUAUAUUUUGUGAUCUAAUGGCAGGUAUAAUGAACACUAAUGCUUUUACUCGUGUUUCAAACUACGGAAGUCGCGUGGCGUGAGAGCCUUGCUCCUAGGAAUGAGCGCAUAUACAGGAAAUUUUCAUCUACGAGGAUUGGAUUGUCAUCUAGUCAGUUACUUUCGCUAAUCUUAAAAUUUGGUGGUACUAGUGUACAGACUGAAUCGAUCAAUUUGGAUUGUCAUCUAAUCGGGACGGUGAGGUCGGUCCCCUGCCGCUACAGCUCCGCCGUCAUCGCAAACUCUCUUGGUAAUUUUAGGGCUUACACCUGCGCUGCCUCCUCCUCCUCCUCCUUUCACAUAGCGCCAAACCAGUGGGUACUCAACAUGGCAGCUUUCUUUGCGACGAAGCUCUCGGCUGCUUUAUGAUUCGCCUCUCCAACAGCUUCUCCAAUGCCCAAUCAUCCGUACCCGCGAUUCCCAGGCACUUUUGAAAAUAAUUUUGUUACGACUGCCCGGACCUUUUUCCCCCCUUUUCUUGCUGUUAAAGUGACUAAUUAGGAAAAAACAACCUAUUCAUUUGAGGUUCGGGAAGGGCUCGUUGCUGUACUUGAUGUUGGAGGAUUCUCUGACCCCAAGCAUUAUAGACCGUUGCGACCGUCACCAGGAAGGUUUUAACGAGUUUUUGGUUAUGGACACUCCACUGAACUUAGCAGUGCCGGCCUCGUCUGCAAGGUAGCUUUUACUUGCCCACAAAUCUCUCGGUGCUCUGUAUUUUUUUUUUCCAUAGCCCUGGAUCCGGUGCCUGUUUUUUUAGUAGUAGCAGCAGUAGCGGGUUUAGUCUAGCCGCAGAGUUGUUGGCGCGUGAAAUUUACAGUUAUUCAGAUUACUUGUUAGAUAAACAAGUUUAUCAAUCUGCCGUUAUCCUUUUCUGUUCCUGAUUUUUUACUUCCAGCAUUGUGGGAAGGAGAUAGUUGCCAAGGAGGUUCAGCUAGAUGAGGGACAUCCAGAUGUACACCUGUUAUUUUUGACAGUUUAUAACUUCAUGGAGGUAACAAUCCAACUGUGUAUUGUAAGCCUUGUCCUGAAUGUUCAUGAACUUAGUACUGUUUUACCUGUCCAAUAAUAUUUUUCACUGAGCAAAUGAAACCUUUGAAUCCUAUCUUCUUUCUGGUUUUCCCUGUCCUUUUCCCAAGGAGUUGCUUCUUUAGUUUUAUUAUUGCUUUAGAUUAGACAAGGGAAGCUAGCUGAUAGACUGAAUGGCAGUAUAGAAGGUAUUGCUCUUGCUUCUACAUGGCCUGUGUACGUUCUGUCAUUAGUCAGAUGCUUAUCAACUUGCACCAAAUUUUUUGCUUUAAUUGGCUGUGGAUGCUACUGACAAUGGAGUAAAUCAAUGCAAUACAGGCCAGCCUCCUAGGUUUGUGAACAACACAAGCUUGUGCUCCAGAGUUGGAAGAUUGAAUCUGGAUUGGGACUCAUUUUGAUCAAUCACCCGAGCAUGAAAAUAAUUGCCUUUCAACAAGCAAUGGAGCUAGCGGGAAGGAUUUUUUGGAGGUGACUUCCCUUGAACUCUCACUAUUCUGAGUUGGGUUUGUCUUCCACUCGACAAUAUUUUUGAAGUUAGUACUAGGCUGAUUGGAAACUUUUGUUUUCCUAUCAUCCUGCACAACUUCAGACCUUCAACUCAUAGCUUAAGCUUGACAAGAUUGUUAAAGGAACAAUUUUUUUUUUAAAACUUUUCAUAUCAGAGUGCUCAUUUCUAUGCAAAAUCAUGGUUGCAAGUUCGAUCUAGUAGUUAUGGAAUGUCUAGCAGAAAGAGAGAGCUGUAGAUCCAACUGGGGAAGUCAUUGUGCAAAAUAGAUCUUUUCCUGUAAGUGGAAACUGGUUGUCUCAAUCAUGUCGUUGAUGACCUUAUUUAGCUUUUUGAUUCUGUCAUCCUUCACCUCUUUCAAUUGUUUGCCUAUUGUUCUGUGAUCAUACCUUUCCUUCUUUAACAAUCAAUAAACCCAUGACAACCCAUAAUGACACUUAUUAGCAUUUCAGCAGUGGAAGCUUCACAUUUUUGACCUGGAGAGGGAACUGAAGAUUGAUCCUUCAAUUAUGUAUGUUAUUUAUCAGGUACCAUCAUGUUCAUCACCCUACAUUAUUCUUUUGAAAAGCAUGUUAAUAGGUUUAUUCUCUUGCAGUCCACUCAUUGUCGAUGAUCUUUUAUAUCAGCAUGUGCAUAGAAGGAAAACAAGUUCAAUGUCGUCUAUUAAUGAGAGAUAUUCUCUCGAUAAAUAUUCUUGCAUUACUUGCUUUUCUUGCCUCAAAGAAGCAAUACGAAUAGCGACCUCAUCAAGGUCAAGUAAUUUAUGCUUGGCUAAGUGCAAUGUUUCAUUUUGUUAGGUCAAAAUGUGUGCAACAGAUAGCUGGUGAAUCAUCUUUUCUUGGAAAAGAAUAUCAUUAGUUGCAAAAAAUUUCACGGUUUUAUUGUUCUGUAGGAUGAUAGGAGUGAGAACUGGCAUAUUCAGGAAGUGGCAGUCUCACCUGAAAAUUUUGAAAGCCGGAAACCCCAACCAUCUCUCUGGUGGGGUCUCAAUGAUGGAGAGCUUUGCGAAGCUACUCAUAUCCCUGGUUGUACUUCUGUGCAUGAGUGGAUUCAUUGGAGGAAAUGAAACUUAUGAAUGUGUUCUUGCUAUGGCAAGGGCUUCUUUGAUGGCUUAAGCAACAAACAAGGUAAUGAAGAACUUUAUUUGAAUAAGAUGCAUGUGCAGUUCGAAUAUGCUGACUCAAGUACCAUUGUUUUAUCAUCCUCAAAUCCUUAAUUUCUUGAAACUCAUUUCUGUACAACUAUCAUCGCAGGUAAAGAAACACACAUUAUUAGAUACUAUUAUGUUAAGGUUAAAAUUGAGUCCCAUUGGGAACAAAAUUUGUGGCUCAACCUGAAUCUUCAGAAGCUGCAGGCAAUCCUUCUUUAAACCAGGUAUUUAGUCCUCCUUCCAAGUGGUAGACAUUGCUGUAACCAUUGAGAACUAGCAAGUAAGCUGCUAUGAGUGACCUACAUAAAGUAACAAAAGCAGGUAAUGAAUCUUCUCCCUUGUACAGUGUGCAGACAGUGUAAUGAACUUUUUAACACUUUGCAUUAUGUAGCACUGUCUUCACACACGUUAAUUUAUAUAUAUAUAUAUAUAUAUAUAUUUUUUUCCACUAGUUAUAUUUGGCACAUCACUAUGACUCCGGAUUUUUGAACAUAGAAAUGUAAUACCUUGAUUGUUGCCCUUCCGGAAGACUUUGUGAUGGCUUCAUUGUACCACCAGAUGAGCAAGCUACUAUUAUCUUCGCUUUCUUCUCUAUUUUCGAUUCCACACCUGCUCUCAAGUAUUAAAAAAUUAGUUAUCAAUUUACAUAGAGCUUUUUCCAUAAGCCUUAAGUUGAUUGAUUUAUGCUAAGAGCCAUACUUUGCAUAAAGUCUGGAUUUUCUUCUGUUCCUUGGAAGAUGCCGAAAAAUGCAAAUGCUGCCCUCCGGGCAAUGUCCCAUGGUGUCCACUCCUUUAUGAGCCUAUAAAUUGAACAUUAAUAGCUCCUGGCGGAUGAGCCUAUGCCAGGAAAUGAUCAUUUAGUAAAGCUUUUACAAAACAGGCAUGGACAUUUGAAAUUAUAGUUGGUUUGCCUAACCAUGGGCAAGGCAGAUGAUCUAUAUGCUACACUAGUGUGAGACAAGAUCUUGCAUAAUUUGGUCAGUGCAUCUUUUAGCAAAAAUGAUCCAUGUGUCUUAGGUCUGAAGUAUCCUGUCUUGAAAAGUGUUUUAAUACUUAAAAGUACUUAUCGAUCUAUUGGUACUUGCAUUUUGCGUGUCUUGGUGUGCACAUUAAAAAUUUGGGUUGCUGCUGAUGACUUCUUUCUGACUUCAAAUCAGGAGUCAUAAUUCUGUUUCUAUGGCAGAAGAAGGACAUUUACCUCUUUAAACUCUGCUUCUGGACGUACAUCAAGAAUCACAAAGUUAUUUUCUUUCUGAAGUCGCAAAGCUUCUUCACCUCGACACUCCUUACCUACAUAAUCUGGCAUGGUUAGGCCUUGUAUGAAGUAAUUUGUAAUUUUAUCACAAUUUGCCAUACAUAAGCUAAGUUUUCAUUUUGAAUCAAUUAAAAAAAAAUAUGAUUCGGAUCCAUAGAAACCUCACUUCUGCUUCACAUUGUGGUUAUUAUCUUCUGGAUGACCAAAAGGUUUCUACGGUUAAAUAGAUGGACAUGGCAUUGGAAGUAACUAUUAAACAGCCACUGCUGUGUUAAAAAAGUUUUGAUGAAUGUUAAAACUUGUGUGAUAUCUGAAGCUUCCAAAACUCCGUAUGCACUUGCGAAAAAAUGUUCUAAAAUUUAUGAUGGAGACAACCUGUAAACUGAGAGACUAUGCACCCUAUAUGAAGUAAUUGCAUUCUUUAGCCGUGUCCACAAUGUGCUUGCCUGCUUGUGUCAGUAUGGUUUGUCGUAUAGUGAAUCAGAUAUUACCUUCUUCUCAAGCAGAUACUUCCUCUUAAUCGACCAGUCCUCUUCAGCUGAUCCCUCCAAAAGGAAAGAAAUCACUGAGAUUAUGCUUAAAUGUUGCGAUUUUGUGAUUAUAUAUGAUGGGUGCAUUUCUGAGGUCUUCUAUAGUUUGCAAUUACAAAAUGAUACGAGUCAUAGGAGCAAUAAUAGCAGGUACCUGGUGAUUUGGCGGGUUUGGUUGCGGCGCUUCGAACAGUGAAUCUAGCAGCUGUUGAGCCUGAGUUUGUCCUGCUUGAGUUUUGAAUAAUGGCUUUAGGGGUCAAGCAACAGGAACUGGGUUCAUUAGCAGAGUUCGGGCAGUAAUUGUAGUUAAAAGCUGGGAUCCUGGAAUGAAAAUUGCGAUGUAAAGAGCAAGUUGAAUGUGGAUUGACUGAAGUGGUGAGGGAAGCCAUAUGUCUAAAAGAAGAAUUGCGCUUUGUAUCAGGCGUGAAUCAAGAUUCAAAUCAAAUUCAAAGAGAAAUGCGAGCUAAGCUUUCUCUCUCUUCCUGGGGUUCUUCCUCUGCGUUUGAUUUCCUUUCUCUGAGAAAUGUGCUUUUGUGUUGUGGAAGUUAGUGGGCCAGGGAUCUUGUGGAUAUUUCGGAGUGUCAAAAUCUGGAGUCGUGGCUGUGGUGCGCUGGUUCUCUGCCAUUAUGGACUUCUUUCGUCUCCCCUUAUCCUAUCAGCUUUAUUACGUACGGUUUCCUAACUCUCUUUCUCCACAUAUUUUUCUUAUGGUUUUAUUUUCCUUAAUUAUGUGGUGGUUAGCUUAACCCGCUCCACCGCCUCAACCAAAAAGCAUAUACCUAUUGGCUUAAUUAUGUGGUUAUGAAACUCAAAAGUCCCACAAACCAAAACUUAACUCUGGUAGAACUCUUGAGUCUUGCUCAUUCCCCUUCCCACCCAGGGUUUCCCUUGAAAAAAAAAAAAAAAAAAAUUAUUGUUGGUCUCAUCCUCUUCCUGCCAUGGUAUAUUAGUGAAAAGGCAACAUGUAUAACUUGAUUUUCUAUUAUGUUUCGUUGAGGGCUCCAAGUAAGAAAAGUCCUUUGUGAAAUUAUAUUGACUUCCCCAUUGAAGUUAAUGGGCAGUGCACAUCGUAUAAUUAAUUACUCAUAUGUUGUAUUACAAUGUGGUCCCCUUGUUAUUUUUGAUCUAAAAAUAUUUGUAUAAUAUUUUUGUGGUGUUUCUCGUGUUGUUAAACCUUUCAAAACCAAUACAAAUGGGUUAUUCAUAAGAUGCGCCUGCUUUCUCACUAAUGAGAGAUAAGGCAUCAAAAUAAAGAUCUUUAUAGGCUAAUAUACAUUAAAAGGAACAAGUCAAAUUCCCAAAAAUAAUAAUAAUAGCAAAUGCUCGUAUUACCAAUACAAAUAGUGAACUAGAUGGCAUUGGCACCAUUCUUUAAGUCUAAGGAUUUAUGGCGAGCACUGAGAAAUUUUUUUUUUUUUUUAAUGGGGUCCAUCUUCCCAUCUUCAAGUACUCAAAUAUUAGCAUUACAUGCCUCGAUAAUCCAAUCUUCUAGGAUGCAUGCAUAUUUCGGUAGUCAAUACUUCCUCAGUCCCAUUUUAUAUGUUAUGGUCAACCUUGUAAAUAGUUUUAAAAAAAAAUAAAGUUUAACUGAGACAAGUAAGCUACUAAAAAAAAUGUCUUUUCAUUAUUGCCCUUCAAUUAAACUCUAAAAUUUUUGUAAGUUGAGGUUAAAAUUUUAAAAAUGGCACAGCUACCUAAAACAAAGAUUGUAGUAGUUUAUAGCAUGAUUUAUUCAGAGAAUCAUGCUUUACCUUGAGAGUUGUAUCAAGGAUAUAAUGGAAAAGUUGAAUUUCAUUUAUUUCUAUUUUAACUCAUGACAAGUAUUUAGGGACAAAUCAAAAUACAAACCAUGACAUAAAGAGUAAGAGUAUUUUGGGAGUAUUACAAUGACUAGGACUUUGCCAUGUUAAUUAUGAAAGAGAUACUCUCUGUAAAGAGAUAAAUCUAGUGUCGUGGGCUUAUGCUUGGACAACGUAAUUUAUUUUCUUCUCCACGUGCUUGCGGCUGUUAGAAGAAGAGGUUGCUUUCGCUUAUUUAGGUGGAUUUAGAUUCUGAAGUCCUCAACGAACGUUCUGAUUUUAUUCUUUUCCCACAAAAAUGGAAAAAAAAAAAUUUUAAUCUUCAAUAUGGGCUCCUGUGCCAUCAUCAGAUGUAAUUGAUCAGGCACCGCAUACUUCAGCCUGGUUUUGUUCUGCAGGGGCAACUUUUUUUUUUUUUUUUUUCUGCAGAAAUAACUUAAUAAUCCUGUUUUUUUUUUUGUUUGUCUCAAAUUAUAGUCUACUUUCUAAUUAAAGAACGUACUGCCUCUUUGGAACCUCAGGUUUUUUGCAAGUUUGUAUGAUACUAGUUUUUUAACAACUUUUGCUACAAGAAUCCCAAAAAUUUAUCAAAAUUUUUAACCUACACACUUCAUCUAAUACACAAAAAAUUUCCUUUCAACUUCUUUUUCCUCCCUCACCCAACUCACCAUGUUCUCCGUCGCCAGCCACCACAUCCACCACCGCUUCCCGCACCGAUCACCUAUUCCGGCACUGCCUUCCUCUUUUUUUUCUCUCUCCCUCUCCUCUCCUCCCCUCCCCUCUUCCCCUCUCCUUUUUCCUCCCGCUUGCGACCAGAUCGCAAAAGUGGAGGGGGAGGGGGGCUGUGAUCUGGUCGCGGAGAGGGAGGAUGGGGGGGAGGGAAGGGAGGAGAGGGGAAGAGAAAGGCAAAAAAAAAAAAAUUUCCAUGGCUUCCAUUACUCAGGCGUCGGAAUGCGAGAGGGAGAGGAGAGCCCUCUCCUUUUUCCUCCCGCUUGCGACCAGAUCGCAAAAGUGGAGGGGGAGGGGGGCUGUGAUCUGGUCGCGGAGAGGGAGGAGAGGGGAAGAGAAAGGCAAAAAAAAAAAAAAAAAUUUCCAUGGCUUCCAUUACUCAGGCGUCGGAAUGCGAGAGGGAGAGGAGAGGAGAGGAGAGGGAGAGGGAGAAGAGGGGAAGAGAAAGGAAAAAAAAUUUUCCAUGGCUACUGGGCGACCAGAUCGUAACUACGGGGAGGGGGGAGGGCGGGAAAGGGGGAGGAGAGUGGGGAGAGAAAAAACAAAAGAAAAAAUCCAUGGCUGCAAGUUCUCAUGGCUGCUGAGGGCGACGGGGAUGGGGGGAGAGGGAGAGGGAGAAGAGCGGGAGAGAAAAAGAAAAAGAAAAAUUUUCCCAUGGCUGCUAGUUUUUGCCAGUCAGAGGCAGAGGUGCUGGGGGAGGGGGAAGUGAGAAGAAGAAGAGAAGAAAGAAAAGAAAAAAGAAAGAAAGAAAGUUUUUAUCCUAAAAAUUUUUCUUACAACUUCUACAAUAAUCUACAGUAAAGUUUUAGACAAAUACUCAAAAAAACUCACCUUCCAAAUGGGACCGUAGUUAUCUUUUAAUUUAUCUAAAAUACCCUUAUUCAAUGUAGAUUGUUAUUGGUAUAAAUUACCUUAUUUAAUAUGGAUUGUUAAGCUAUCCCAUUUAAUACAUUUAGAUUUUCCAAAACAUAUUGAUGUAUGAAAAGCUAACUUUGCUAUUCUUUCAAGUCCAAAUGUGAAAUAAUGUAAAAUGAGGAUUGAUUCUUUCUUGGUCAUCAAUUCAAGUUCUUAUAAACCAUCAAUUCAAGUUUUCAUGAAUAAUUAAUAUAAAAUUAUACUUUACUUAAUGUAAGGGUAUUUUAGAAAAAUAGCAACCUAAAUUUAUUGUUCCAACAAAAUUAAUCACUUUUUCUUAAAUUGUGUAAAAAAAACCUGGGAUUAUCGAAAUGGGAGGGAGGAAGUGCAUUUGAAGAUUCUGCUUCCUUUUUUUUCCUCUUUAUUUUUGUAAAGGAAAAUACUACAUAUUUUCUUGUCUGAUUCAUAUAUUUCGGUCUGAGUCCAAAAUAAUAGAGGAAAAUGAAUAAAACGGCCGGUGUUGGAUGAUUAUGUGGACGUAAUUAUGUACCAAACAUUUUCAGUAAUAGGAUGUUAUGAAUGCUUGCAAAACAUGUGACUUGUGCAACUUACAAAAAAAAAAAAAAA
rnacentral:lncRNA from 1 species